AAUAUUGAAUGACGGUUUUGUUUUUCUCUUCCUCCAGAUCUUGUUGCAUCUUCAGAACCUUGCUUAAUAAUAUGCUCUGUCGAAAUGAUCUUCGUCAGAACACGACACAAAAGUUAAUAAUAAUAGUAAUAAAAUAACAAAAAUAUUUGUUACCUUGAAGUUAGCAUAAAGCAAGCUUCCGGCGAUGUGGUGUCGUUGAUAACGAUACAAGUCCACUUCCAGCUUCGGCAAGCCAAUGCUUUUGGAAAGGGUUCUAAUAAUUUUGGCUUCGGUGCGGUUCCGAAGGCAUCUUAAUUUCCCUUCGUUGACCCCACCAAAAAGCAUAGCCCCUGAUUUGUAUCCACAGGAUGUGGCAUAUUUUUUCAACUCCUCUUUUUCGGCGUCCGUUAAUUCUUGUCCGAGCAAAUCUUGAAAGUUAAAAUCUUCUUCUUCUGAAAUUUCAUCAAUUUGCUCUUUCCCCUUCUCAGUUGCCAUAUUCACUGUAGCCACGGUAGCUUCCUCUUCAGCCAUUUUCAGCAGUAUGUUGUCAAUAACCUCAAGUGUGGUUUCCAGGUUCGACUCUUCGGUGGCCCCAGCUUCGGCCCCGGUAGCUUCGGCUUCGCCGGAUUCAGCUUCAGCAGUUUUCAUUUCAGUAGCUUCGGCUUCGGCAGUUUCAGCAAAAACAAUUUUUGACACCGUUGCCGGUGGCGGCGUCUGAUGGAUCACAUCUGUUACUUGAAUAAUUCUCCGCUUUUUUGGCUUCGCAGGACUUUCUACUGCCGAAGCUGCCUUGUCCUUCUGAAAAAACUUCGUCAGAUCCAGUGCCAGCGGACUUAGCCUGAAAGGCAAAGGUUCAGUCAUUACCUUCAUAAUUUCUUCUACUUCAAUAGCAGAAGGAGAAGCAGGAGUGUCUUCUUCUUGGACCGGCGUUUUCGGCUCUGGGGAUGCACUUUUUCUCUUUUUUGCCGUAGGCACCUUCGGCUCAGGAUUUAACUCUUCAGCGCUAAUGUUAUCAGAAUCUUUCUUUUUCUUUUUUGCUGCCUUGACGACUUCUUCGUCAGUAGUGCUAGCAAUCCUUUUUCGCUUCGGGCCCCCAGCAUCUCCGCCCAGACGACCGUAGUCAGCAUAUUCAAAUCCUAUGGCAUCAAGUACUCUGUUCAGCCUUCGUUUCGGCCGAGUGCCGAAGGCCGCUGUCAUCAGUUGGUCCUCUUUUUUAGAGUAAUUCCCAAGAAUUUUAUUGCUCAUUAUUUCAAUUGUAUCAAGCCAUUCUUGGCAGGGUACUUUAAAGUAUUUCUUGAACUUAUAAUGGUAGGGCAGUCGGACGAGUUCCCCCUUUUUCUUUUCCCCUUUAAGCUUCGACAUUGUCCACUCUUUCAUAGUUGGAAAAACCCUGAAGGCCAGGAAUUCUUGCACUAAAUCUCUAGUGCCAAUAUGUUCUGCAAUAAUUUUGAAUUCGCCCAGUGCAACCCAAGUUGGACCUUCUACUUCCAUUCUGCAUCGGGGUCUUGUUUCUCCGAAGGUUAGUUCAAGAGGGCUCUGAACCAGCUUUUCUUUGUCCUCGUCAACUUUGACAUAAAACCAUUCUGAUUUCCAGUCUGCCGGCCAUUUGCUUCGGUAGCUGAUCACGGGAAACUUCGUGGUUUUCCGAUAAGCAAAGUUAUAGCAACCAAAAUUUUCAUGCAAUCCAUCUUUUCUGGCUUUUGUUUGGUAAUGCAGCUCAUGAACUCGACAGAAGCUGUCGGCAAAUGGCUCCACCGCCUAGCUUCGGAGAGCCCAGAUAUAGACGCUGAGCCUGACAAUCGCGUUGGGCGUCAGUUGGUGAAAAUAGAUGCCAAAUCUUUGCAGCACGUCAGAGAUCAUCCUAUUUAAGGGAAAUCUUAACCCAUCCUUUAGGAAGCUCUUGAAAAUGACUAUUUCAUCCUUUUCUGGCUUCGUGGUAGUUUCUUCCCCCCCCCCCCCGAAGCGAAGUAGCUUCUUCUCAUUCUCACUGAAGUAACCCGACUUCACCAUCUUGGAGAGAUCAGCCUUAGAGACAGUCGACUUUCCGAAGUCCAAGUGGCUGGGCUUGCUUGGCACGACAAUAUGGUAAUCAUCAUCGGGAUCAGCUUCCUCAAUAUUUCCUUCUUCUGCUUCGGCAGCAACUUGUUCUGUCUCGGCAACAGUCUGCUCUGUCUCGGCAGUACGGAGUCCUUCCGAGGUCACCAGUCCGGAUCGUUGCAUCGCUUCAGAGAUGGGAACAGUCUCCGAUCCUUCAGCUUCGCCUCCCUCACGCUCAACCCUAGCGGUAGAGCGCACUCUGGCCAUUUAAUUCUGAAUUUUUUGGGAACUAAAAACUUUUUCUUCCAAAGUUUUUUCUUCUGACGAAGUAGGCUUUAAACUGGAAGCUUCGUUUGAUUGCGAGAGUCAAGCUUCGGCUAUGGUUAAAAAUUUUGGCAGCAAAACAGUGCAAUAGCAAUGAAUGCUGUGGUAACUUCACACCUACCCGUCUGUUUAUAUAGUGCUACAGGUAAGAAGGUGAAUCGUCAGGAUUUUUACACCAGGCGAACAGCUGCUUACACCUGCUGCGCGUGGACCGCAGAGACCAAAUAGUAACUCUGCAGGGUGGGACCGCUACGCGCUCGGAAACUGAAUCGUUUCUCGACAACGAGCUCAGGGAAGGUGUUUUUCGGACCUUCGGCUCCCUGAAGCCUAAGAGACUUUUUUCACGGAUCAAGCUCGUUACGAAAAACGAUCUAGCACCGCGAAGGGGCUACUGUUGGGACCAUGCUUCGUCGCCGAAGGUCCUGCAGGAAGAAACAGCUUCGGCUGAAGCUGUCCGCAUGUGAUGACCGAAGGUUCCUUUCCAUGAAGCUUCGGAGUUACAAACCGACUUAAAAAUAGAAUGACCAUUUAGUCCAUAAAUGUUUGAGUCGUUGUUGUAAACUUUUAUGAGGGGCAUGAUUGUAAUUCCUCACAGGCUGUGUCCUGUGCCUAUAAAUAGUGAACAGUACUCCUUUACUGUUCACGGAUUCCUACAAUUGCAAUCGCGUCAAUCGGGAAUUAAUCUUUGUCAAGGCAGAGGUAUAAAUGUAUUUAGUACUUGAAUACAUUAAAUGGAGAUAAUAUAAAAGUGAUGUUGUUCAUUUAUAAUUUAUUUGUCUUUAAUGCUUCAUAUUUCGUAUUAUUUUAUAUAAUCUACUAGAGUUCAAUUACGAAGAUUUAACCUUCGUAAUUGUAUCGUUUUUAACCUUCGUCCGAAGUUCAUUAAUCCUUAAAGGAAUAAUGCUUCAUUGGACGAAGGGCAUUAACAUUUAACAUUUUAUGUUGCCUUGUUCUUAAUUCAUAGCAUUUGAGAACGAGUCUCCAACAGGGGGGAAAUGGCGGAUGUGUGUAGACUACACUGGUCUGAACAAAGCAUGUCCGAAGGUUCCCUACCCUCUGCCUCGCAUCGAUCAAAUCGUGGAUUCCACUGCUGGGUGUGAAACCCUGUCUUUCCUCGAUGCCUACUCAGGGUAUCACCAAAUCAGGAUGAAAGAGUCCGACCAGCUCGCGACUUCUUUCAUCACACCCUUCGGCAUGUACUGCUAUGUCACCAUGCCGUUCGGUUUGAGGAAUGCGGGUGCGACGUACCAGCGGUGCAUGAACCAUGUGUUCGGCGAACACAUUGGCCGCACGGUCGAGGCCUACAUCGAUGACAUCGUAGUCAAGACGAGGAAAGCCUCCGACCUCCUUUCCGACCUUGAAGUGACAUUCCGAUGUCUCAAGGCGAAAGGCGUCAAGCUCAAUCCUGAGAAGUGUGUCUUCGGGGUGCCCCGAGGCAUGCUCUUGGGGUUCAUCGUCUCCGAGCGGGGCAUCGAAGCCAACCCGGAGAAGAUCGCAGCCAUCACCAGCAUGGGGCCCAUCAAGGACUUGAAAGGCGUACAGAGGGUCAUGGGAUGUCUCGCGGCUCUGAGCCGCUUCAUCUCACGCCUCGGCGAAAGAGGUCUACCUCUGUACCGCCUCUUAAGGAAGGUCGAGUGCUUCACUUGGAGCCCUGAGGCCGAGGAAGCCCUCGGGAACCUGAAGGCGCUCCUCACGAAGGCGCCUGUCUUGGUGCCCCCAGCUGCCGGAGAAGCCCUCUUGGUCUACGUCGUCGCGACCACUCAGGUGGUUAGCGCCGCGAUUGUGGUCGAGAGGCAAGAAGAGGGGCAUGCAUUGCCCAUUCAGAGGCCAGUCUACUUCGUCAGCGAGGUAUUGUCCGAAACCAAGAUCCGCUAUCCACAAGUCCAGAAGCUGCUGUAUGCGGUGAUCCUGACACGGCGGAAGCUGCGACACUACUUCGAGUCUCAUCCGGUAACUGUGGUGUCGUCCUUCCCCCUGGGGGAGAUCAUCCAGUGCCGAGAGGCCUCGGGUAGAAUUGCAAAGUGGGCGGUGGAAAUCAUGGGCGAAGCAAUCUCGUUCGCCCCUCGGAAGGCCAUCAAGUCCCAGGUCCUGGCAGACUUCGUGGCCGAAUGGGUCGACACCCAGCUACCAACGGCGCCGAUCCAACCGGAGCUCUGGACCAUGUCCUUCGACGGGUCGUUGAUGAAGACAGGAGCCGGCGCAGGCCUACUCUUCAUCUCGCCCCUCGGCAGGCACAUACGCUAUGUGCUACGCCUCCAUUUCCCGGUGUCCAACAAUGUGGCCGAGUAUGAGGCUCUGGUCAACGGGUUGCGAAUCGCCAUCGAGCUAGGGGUCCGACGCCUCGACGCUCGCGGUGACUCGCAGCUCGUCAUCGACCAAGUCAUGAAGAACUCCCACUACCGCGACCCGAAGAUGGAGGCCUACUGCAAUGAGGUUCGGCGCUUGGAAGACAAGUUCUACGGGCUCGAGCUCAACCACAUUGCUCGGCGCUACAACGAGACUGCGGACGAGCUGGCUAAAAUAGCCUCGAGGCGAACAACGGUUCCCCCGGACGUCUUCUCCCGAGAUCUGCAUCAACCCUCCGUCAAGAUCGACGACACGCCCGAGCCUGAGGCACCCUCGGCACAGUCCGAGGCACCCUCGGCUCGGCCCGAGGCACCCUCGGUUCGGCCCGAGGCACCCUCGGUUCGGCCCGAGGUACCCUCGGCCCCCGAGGGCGAGGCGCUGCGCGUCGAGGGGGAGCCAAGCAGGGUCACGCCUGAUCAAAACUGGCGGACCUCGUACCUGCAAUAUCUCCACCGAGGAGAGCUACCCUCCGACCGAGCCGAAGCUCGGCGGGUGGCGCGGCGCGCCAAGUCGUUCGUCCUGCUGGGAGAUUAGAAGGAGCUCUACCACCGCAGCCCCUCCGGCAUCCUCCAGCGAUGCAUCUCCAUCGCCGAAGGUCAGGAACUCCUGCGAGAGAUACACUCGGGGGCUUGCGGCCAUCACGCAGCGCCUCGAGCCCUUGUCGGGAAUGCCUUCCGACAAGGCUUCUACUGGCCCACGGCGGUGGCCAACGCCACUAGAAUUGUCCGCGCCUGCGAAGGGUGUCAGUUCUACGCAAGGCAGACCCACCUGCCCGCUCAGGCUCUACAGACAAUACCCAUCACCUGGCCCUUUGCUGUGUGGGGUCUGGACCUCGUCGGCCCCUUGCAGAAGGCACCCGGGGGCUACACGCACCUGUUGGUCGCCAUCGACAAAUUCUCCAAGUGGAUCGAGGUCCGACCCCUAAACAGCAUCAGGUCCGAGCAGGCGGUGGCGUUCUUCACCAACAUCAUCCAUCGAUUCGGGGUCCCAAACUCCAUCAUCACCGACAACGGCACCCAGUUCACCGGCAGAAAGUUCCUGGACUUCUGCGAGGAUCACCACAUCCGGGUGGACUGGGCCGCCGUAGCUCACCCCAUGUCAAAUGGGCAAGUAGAGCGUGCCAACGGCAUGAUUCUACAAGGGCUCAAGCCUCAGAUCUACAACGACUUCAACAAGUUCGGCAAGCGAUGGAUGAAGGAACUCCCCUCGGUGGUUUGGAGCCUGAGGACAACGCUGAGCCGAGCCAUGGGCUUCACGCCGUUCUUUCUAGUCUAUGGGGCCGAGGCCAUCUUGCCCACAAACUUAGAAUACGGUUCCCCGAGGACGAGGCCUAUACCGACCAAAGCAACCAAGCUAGUCGAGAGGACUCGUUGGACCAGCUGGAGGAGGCCCGGGACAAGGCCUUACUACACUCAGCGCGGUACCAGCAGUCCCUGCGACGCUACCACGCCCGAGGGGUCCGGUCCCGAGACCUCCAGGUGGGCGACCCGGUGCUUCGGCUAUGGCAAGACGCCCGGGGCGGCACAAGCUCACGCCCCCCUGGGAGGGGCCGUUCAUCAUCGCCAAAGUUCUAAAGCCCGAAACGUACAAGCUGGCCAACAGUCAAGGCGAGGUCUACAACAACGCUUGGAACAUCCAACAGCUACGUCGCUUCUACCCUUAAGAUGUUUUCAAGUUGUUCAUAUACCUCGCUCCCAUGCAAAGUUUAGUCAUCAAGGAAGGGUCGGCCUCGCCUCGGCAAAGCCCGACCCUCCCUCGGGGGCUAAAAGGGGGGAACCCCCUCUGCGUCGAAUUUUUUCCUCGAAAGAUCCCUUCUGCCAGAAUGUCUUUCGUGCUUUUUGACUACUUCGAAAGUGGAUCCUGAAAACGAUGGAGUACACGUAAGCAGCCAAGGCUGACCGAGCCGAGGGACUCCUACGCCUCCGGGAUAUGGAUACCUCACUCAUCACCUUCUGCGAUAAGUAACUCACGUUCGGAUAAGUGAUUCCGCGGACCGAACAGGUCUUCACGUUCGGAAGCUCUUCUGCCGGAGCGAUUCUUCGAGCCUUCUUGACUGCGUCGGUGACAGAACCCCAUGGACGGGUGAAAGGGAAAUAGGCUUUAAACCUUUUCCUAAAUGAUUUUGGUGGUUGAAUGACCAACACAACUAAUUGGACUAACUAGUUUGCUCUAGAUCAUAUAUUCUACAGGUGUCAAAGAUUCAACUCAAAACCAAUAAAAAGAACAAGACAAGGUUCAAAAGAAAGGAGCAAAGAGAAACCGAAGUGCUCCCUGGCAUGGCGCACCGGACUGUCCGGUGUGCCACCGGACAGUGUCCGGUGCACCACCGGACAGUGUCCGGUGCACCAGGGAGGAUUGCCUUCAAACUCUUCACCUUCGGGUUUCUCAGGCGCAGCCCACUAUAAUUCACCGGACUGUCCGGUGCACCACCGGACAGUGUCCGGUGCUCCAGAGUGAAGCGGCUCUGAACUGGCCAGCUUCGGGAAAGUGGGAGGUCGCUCCGCUAAAAUUCACCGGACCGUCCGGUGUACACCGGACUGUCCGGUGUGCCAGCGGAGCAACGGUCAUCUGCGCGCAACGGUCGACUCUGCAAAGUGUACUGUGGCGGAACCGCCCGAAUUAUUCCAACUUAAGUGCCUAAGUCCCACCUUAGAGGCUAGACCACACUUAAAUAGGAAUAAAUCGUCAGUCCCUCGGAUCUAGUCCGACGAGGCCACUUAUCCAGGAUCGAAUACCACUAGCUCACACGAAGGUGAGGCACAGAGAAAUACAAUAAAACACAAUACCACAAAUUUAAUAAGUAUCAUUAGUGAUUACAUUAUCGGAGUUUCAGAAAUAAUAACCAUAAAUUUUAAUGCAGCGGAAAUAACUAACGGAGAAAACCGAGUAACAUGGCGAAGCCUGGCCACGCUACUCCUCCUGGUCCUCUCCUGCGGAAGCAAUAACCCACUUGACUGUCUAUCCCGGUGGCAGGGAUGAAGGCCAAGUCACACCAUCAAUCAAUCAUCCUAAGGAGUACCUGCAAAAAUUAUGCCACAAGCAAGGCUGAGUAUACUAAUACUCAGCUAGACUUACCCGGUGUGAGGAGUCUACUCCUCUACCUCUAGACAUGCAGCUGUUUGGCUGUGGGGUUUGGUUGCCAAAAGCACUAGCUGAGUCUAAAAACAAGUUUUAGCUUUUCAAGUUUUAGUAUGAUCCUUUUAAACUAGAUGUGUACCUAGCUAAUCAUACAUGGUAUCAAACAUUUUAAUCAAACAACAUCUUUUGCCAGUCACCUCAUUUCCACUUAUUACUCAAUGUAGCAGCAUGGAUCAAGCAGUCUCAUUAGCUGCGAGAAGCAGACGAUUCGAAUCGAGUUUUUAAACCUUGCAAGGUAAACCUAAACACACGACAUGUAGGGGCACUCCGUCCCCACACAUAUCAACCGUCCCCAUUGAUUCCCUGGCAACAGAUCAGGGCUCACCGCCUUGGCGUACAAUGCCUCACUGACCCCGACUGGCCGUCGUGCAGUGACCGCACUUGUACCCACCAUAACCGGAAUGGGAGACCUCGUCUCAGGUCGCGUGAGGGGAUAUGUCUGCGGGCAGGUUCACUCAGGUACUAGGCUUACCGAUUUACCAUAUUUCUCGGUAUGUGUUUAGUACGUUCAAACGCUUGACUCACGGUACCACACCUUAAUCCUUAUUCCAAUUUUCAUCUCGUAGACAACGCAUCCCCAUGGAUCGUUGUCUACAGACCACCAUCAUUAUGAUAUAAAAAUGGAUACAAUCAAUUCCUGACCUCGCGCGAGUGCUAGAAAAAUCACUCGACUUCUACCGAGAUCCCUAAUUAGUAAAGCAGCUACUCGACCUAGCAUACUAGUAUUCAUCUCAAAAAGGAAUCCUGAGUUCAUGCAACUAGGGUUUCAGUCAACUCCUACACUUAAGUGCACAGUACAAACCUACAAACAUUAAGUGCAGUAAAAUAGCAUAUAUAAUGGUUAUGCAUAAAACCGGGGCUUGCCUUUAAUUUAACACUUAAAUAGUGUUUGUUGGGUGGCACUCGCUUGGCGAGCAUCCACUGGUUAUGUCCAUCCUUCCUUGGGUCGUCCACCGACUGCAUCUUGUGGGUGGCACCACAUCAAUUGCACGGUCGUCACCUCUCGGUCCUAAAUGAGAUGCAGGAUGCAUAUGUAUGAAUACAAUGAAAAAUAUCACAAGCUAUAUAAAUACAUGGUAGCAAACUAACAUUUAAUUGUAAGACACCGCAACGACUAUACGCAAGCGCUAGCUAUUCGUAAGUUAUCGGCGUUCAUCAUUAACACCAUUAACAAGACGACCACAUUUUAUUUAUUUACGCAACACAAAUACGAUAUCACGAGCACAAACAUUUACCAUGUUCACUUAACUAUCCAUUAGUUACCUAACCUUAUAUUAGUUAAGUCUAUAAGUUCGUCACGACUUUUCCUUAGUUCUUCUAGUGAUCACACAAAAGCAUCCCAAACACAAGUUUAACAGAGGACCUAUGCAACAAUGUCGAUAGACUCCUAUAUCACAAUCAACUACAGCAAGCAAGCACAUUAAUCAUGUAACACACGUUAACCUAAGUUUGUCCAUUACAAUUCUAUAUCCGUUAAGUGCUAACUAAGCAUUUUUAGUCAAAGGGGUGAACUAAUAAUUAAUUGGGCACAUGCAGAUUUUUAGUACAGCAGCACCACAGUCACUAGUUUUAAUCAUAUCUCUUCAAAUAUUAAUCCAAAAAUAGCAAACUAGGACAUUCCGGAAAGCUUAAAAAGUGCUCUACAACAUUGGUAUUGUCAUCACAGCACGUUUAAACACUUAGCAAGGUCAAAUGGUGCAAACACAGCAGCUCUGUCCAGAUUUGGACAGAUGCAGACUUGCAACUUCAAAAAUUCACAACUGAAGAUUCAGACAUCCAAACAAAUUGAUCCUAGACUUUCUGGAAAGCUAAUUAAAUGUUUUACAAAUUAUUUAUAAACAUCUCAAGGUGAUUCAAUAUUUAACUAAGGAUAAACAUCACUAUAAGACUUUGCUGUCCAGAACUGGACAGAUUCAGUCUUCAUAUUUGAAACAUUCAUAACUUAAGCUUCAGACCACCAAAAAUAGUGAUCCAAGACUUUUUGGAAAGCUUGGCAAAAGCACUACAUAUUUUUAUAAUCCCCAAGAAUUGAUUCUAUGUUAAACUGAAUCAAACAAUUCAGUUUUCGAAAUCUGUUCUGUCAGUGGACAGAACACCGCAACCAAGUUGUAAAAUUCAUAACUCUUAAACCGUCAGGCCUUUAGUUAUGAAUUUUUAACACAAGCAAGAUAAGAAAAGCAUCUACAACUUUCUUAUAAUCUACAAGGACUGAUUCAAAUAUCAACUUAAGCAAACAGUGCAGUCUCUGAAAUCUGUACAGAAAUUGGACAGAUUCAGUUACUGAAUUUGUAAAGAGCAUAACUCCUAAAUUGUCAGACCUAUGGCUGUCAAAUUUUAACACCAGCAAGAAAAUAAAGUUAUCUACGACUUUUCUAUAGCACAUAUCUACAGAAAACACAAUUUAGUUCAUCAAACAUACAGCACAACUAAAACAGUGCGUGCAGUCUAAAACAGCAAUCAAUAAAUUUCAGUUUCUAUAUAAUUCAAGAAUUUCCUUGAUCUAGAUACUUGAAUUAUUCUAACACUUUAUCAUUUGUUAGAGUUAACAUAAUCAAGGGAGAACUAACAAGUAGACUUACUAAAUUUUUAUCCGUAUCAUUUUGUACGCUAGAAUCACCACACACAAUUAACAAACACAUCCACCACAAUAAUCGGACCCGGUACAUAUACAUGUAUCGAUGCGCCCUUCACACACUAAUUUGCAUUUUAGCUUAGACAUCAUAUGAACACUACUACUUUUUACCCGCGAUCAUAACCAUGCGCAAUUGGGCUACAACACGCAAUUCAUCGUGACCAUUAACUUAACUAAAGUCAUCUAACAAGUUGAUUAACCUGAGCAACAACCUAGGCCGCUAUACAACAUACUCGUCGGCUAGCCUAUUAUUAUCGAAAUCUGAGACACAACAUAUGCCACAACAUUUAUAUAAACAUACAUAUUCACAUGUAUUUUCACACAUCCACCAAAUCAUAUGACCCGUAAACCACUAUUCUCUAACUCGAAACCAUCAUGUGCUUACUUCCCAAUUCAUGAACACAUACCGCGUAUUGACCCUACUCAAGAUAUAGAGGAAGCGAUGACUACUUUGGCAUGUCACCACCUCUCUAUAUAAGCCAAAACAAUUUCUACUAUCGACUAAAAGUUCUAAGUAUUAAUCACAUUAUUACUUUACACGCGCAAAUAAACCUCAACUUAACACCAGUGACACCGAUGGAUUUUUACUAAACUCAUCAUGCGCAUAACCAUUUAAUCUUUAAUUGGUACUAAGGUAUAUUUCAAUAUUCCAAGAGACAUGCAAGCUUUUGUUUACUUCUAAUUUCAUUAACUCUUCUUUAUAAUUAUAAAAUGGGUGUUAUUUUAGCACCAUACAAAAGUACCUAAUUUGGGGCUGGAAUUUUUAUGAGGCAAAGGUAAUAAGAAUUUAUGGCUAAUGUAUAAAUUUCACAUGCCCAGGUUUUAUAUUUUAUUUAAUACAAAAAUAAUAAAUUGUCAAUGCAAUAAAGCAUGUGAGAGCAAGUUAAAUCUAAAACUAAUUAUUUUCUGUAGAUGCAUUACCAUAUUGAGUUUUCUUAGGCUACUAUAAUACCAUGCAAGGACAGUAGAACACCAUUUUACAUUUUUGCAUCUAUACAUUAUUUUUAAAUCAUUUAAAACUACUUAAGGUGCAUUAAACAAGUUAAAUCACUAACUUAAUCAUACAUGCACAACAAUUCAUGAAAUAUUUACCAGUCACCAAGCAUCACACCACGAGUCUACUGUAAAAAUUUGAAUCCAUUUGGAGCACAAGAGCUACAGAUCUAAAAAUAACAAGCAAAACAACCAUGUUUUUCCUAUUUAACAUGUUUAAAUUAACACACCAAGAAAACAGUGAACAACCUACAAGUUUUAUAUUUUUCUUAGAUGAAGUAUGACAACAUCUAACUAACAAAACAGGUUUCAUCAUUUUUGGAAUUUUGUAAUUAAAACGAUGGAGAGAUGCAAGUUCGUUUAUUCUCUAAACCAGUUUUUAAAUACGAAUUUCUACAGAAAAACUUUUCCACUAAAACAUACCAACAUAUAGAUCCAAUAGUUAGAGCAUUUCAUAAGGAAGACAACAAAACAAGUUUCACGAUUUUAGGGGUUACCAAACUCAAGAUAUGAAUUUUUAAAGAAAGGACAAAGGUCUGAAACUUUCAGCAAUCUUACCCAUGGCCUUGGGCCCACACGUCAUUGGCACACACGGUUCUUCUUCCACCUCACGUAGAGCAGCAGCAGGGGCGAGGACCUGGGCGUCCAUGGCCAGAGCGCCGAGCACCGAGGCUUGGGGAAGCCGCGCUUGCCACGGAGAGGGAGUAGCCAUGGAGGGCAACUCGGAGAUGGUGCCCUGGCCGCUGCCGUGCACUAGGGACAGAGGAGCAGGGAGAACGACGGCUAGUUGGGGGAGCUCGGCCAUGGGAAAUGGCGCCUGCGCCAUGGCUGGAGAGCACCUGCUCAAGGCCGGACCCGAGGAGGUAUCGCUGGGGAAGCACCGGCUGGAGCAGGCAAAAGCGUGGAGGGGAAGGGAGAGAGAGGUGGGCUGCCAUUUUUAAAGAGGUGCUGGCGGCAGCCAUUGGUGGACAUGGGCGGCUGCUGCAGAGCACCAGUCUGCACAGAGGCAGAAAGAAGCACGCAUUGGACAGACGUUUUUGUCAUUUUCUGUUUGGAUUCGGAUCUCAGUCAGUGCACGAAAUAUCUUCCUUGAUCUAUACUCUACAAUUGUUGUACAGAACUUGAGGUGAUUUAGGCACUGGUUAGAGAGUUAUAGACCCACGAAAAUUGGUUUGUCAGUGGGUUAGAAAACAGUGGAAACUCGUGAAAACUGAAUGUCAAAGCAUGUCAAACAAAAUCGGAUGAAUGCCAUCUUUUAAUAUGUUGUGCCCCUAUUAGUUAUUAACAACUUUUGUAUUUGGGGAAACUUGAGUUGUUCAACAAAAAUUUGGGAACGCGAGACGUCGACCCGAACGAUGCUGAUUUCAGACUUAGAAGGAUUCGAAUUCAGAAAUCAGAUUUUUAUUAUGUCUUGAUGUCACUGUUUGAGAUACUUAGAAAUUUAAUCAAGGCUUGGUUUAAAUAUAAAAUUUGUUGUAUUACACAGGUUCUACAAUGUUUAUUAAAGGUCAAACCUCAUAUCUUGAAUAUAAAUUAAAGUUUUACUUUGGUCAAGGUAGCAUCAUUAUAAAGCUUCAAAUUAUAUUUUUAAGGCAUUCGGGGUAUUUUCUCGAUAUUUUCUUGGCAUUUUCUCUACAUGAACCCUUAAUAACUUUUGUUGUAGAGUUGAUAUAGAGUUGUUUGAGUAAGAUGGCAAGACUUGGUCGAAUUUCAAAAUUUACAUUUGUUCAAACGAGAAGUUUCAAGCAAGUAUAGGAUUUAUCUUUUCAUGUGAGUAUUUCGUUCAACCUUCUAGAAAUCUUUAGAAUACACUUGAUGGAUAGAGAUGAAUGAUGAUAUAUAGAAAACAAGUCGAGUUGCAUAAGAAUUAAUUAGAGGUUCACACAAAGAGAUCCUGCGGGAGAAUGCGGAUUCAGAUUAAGUAUUUGGACGUAGACCGACUAUCGAGACAGCGGAUUCGGACAUAGAUCGGAGUUUCGAGGAAUUAGAUUCGGGCUCAGAUCAGAUAACAGUCGUCGAGAGUUUGAUUAAAUGAGCUUCAUAUGAGAUUUAUAAUUCGAGAAUGAUUUUUGAGUUCGCAUCCGUGCCGAGGAUAAAAGUUUUAACACGCUCCGAAAUUGGAUGUUUCUCGCGAUCGAAUAACUCUGAAUUCGGUGAACUUCCAAGAGAAAGCCUGAUAAACAGAGAUAGACACGAUCGAGAAAUAGAAAUUUUCACUGAGCAUUCGCGUUAGGGACAAAUCUCCCGACAUAACAUGAAACUGACACCUGGGGUGUCACAGCUUGUAACACCCCGUCCAAUCCCUGGACCGGCGGUACUUACUCCUGGCAGCUCUCUAGGAUCAUAUAUUGUCCCCACAGACCAACACGAGUCUUUUGUGCGCACUUUGUCCUCACUCAUGCGCACCCGAGAAAACUUCCCGGUCGGUCACCCAUCCCAAAUUGCUCCAAGCCAAGCAUGCUUAACUUGGAGGUUCCUUCGAGAUAGGCUUCCGAAAAAGAAGAUGCACCUUGUUGGUAUGAUUACACUAUUAAUUCUAUUAAGCCUUGGGCCAGGACAUCCCAUCCCAGGGGCCAGGAUAUCACAAUCCACCCCCCUUAGAAGACCGACGUCCUCGUCGGUCAACCCCAAUCCAGGAACCUCCCCUCUUGGUCACGUCUGUAUGUCUAGUGUCGUCAUAUGCCAUGCCAUGUGACCACUCCGGGCCCACAUGCGCCAUGCGUCAUAUACCCGAACCCCCUAGCCCACACACGCCCGUGAAACCACGAGGGUCGGCUCUGAUACCACUUGUAACACCCCGUCCAAUCCCUGGACCGGCGGUACUUACUCCUGGCAGCUCUCUAGGAUCAUAUAUUGUCCCCACAGACCAACACGAGUCUUUUGUGCGCACUUUGUCCUCACUCAUGCGCACCCGAGAAAACUUCCCGGUCGGUCACCCAUCCCAAAUUGCUCCAAGCCAAGCAUGCUUAACUUGGAGGUUCCUUCGAGAUAGGCUUCCGAAAAAGAAGAUGCACCUUGUUGGUAUGAUUACACUAUUAAUUCUAUUAAGCCUUGGGCCAGGACAUCCCAUCCCAGGGGCCAGGAUAUCACAUGCACUUCCCUUUAAGAUGUGUCAAGCUCUUCUUUAGCCUCUCAUUUUCUUCUUUGAGCUUUUGAUAUGAAUCAUCAUUUGUUCCUGCAAGUUCUAGCUCAAAGGAAGAUUUGCUUGUUGACAAACAACAAGCAUUAGCACAUGGUAAUAUAGUAUCAAUUUGAAUACAUGUGCACGAGUGAGGUUGUUGGGAUUUUAAGUUUUCUAUCACGACCUCAUGAGCAAUGUUUAAUAUGAUAUGAUCAUCCACAAGAUUUUCAUGAGAACAUAGAAGCAUAUCAUAUUUUUCUUGAAAAGCUAGAUUUUCAACUUUUAGCUUUUCUACUUGGUCCUUAAGCAAGGUAUUCCUAUUUACUAAUUGAGCGAUACAAUGUAAAGCGUUAUCAUGCUCAAUUGAAACAGUUUCAUACCUUUGGACCAAAUCAACAUGAGAGCACUUUAGCUCCUCAUGUUCUUUAGUCAACUCGUCAAAGUGUUGCAUCUUCAUGGAGAGAAUACUUUCUAGCCUUUGACGAGCUUCGCCUUGCUCUCUCGCUCUUUCUAUAAGUUUGAACAUGACCGCCUUAUCUUCUUGGCUUAAGCGAGCGUAGAGUUGCACAAAGCUUCUUUCUUCCUCCUCAUCCUCAUUUGUGCUUCCGCUAUCAUUUGCAUUAGCCACACAACACAUGUGGGAAUCGAAAUGGGAAGACAAACCUUUUGGAGAGGUGGAUUCAUCGUUUGGUCUCCAUCGUUCAUUUUCUUCUUCUUCCUUGCAAGGGUUAGUAUCACAAAUACCAAAGGAAGUAGAAGCAUAAAAUGAACUAUCAUGUUUGGACUCAUCAAAUUUGCUUUUAAUUCUAGUCCAAAUAUCAUGCGCAUCAUGAAUAGGUUCAUCAUAUUUUGAUAUGAAGGCACGAUAAUGUUCUUUGCUAAGAGAAUUGCUUAAGAUGUCAAAAGCUAGGUAGUUUAAGCGAAAACAUCUUUGAUCCUCCUCGGAAUUAAUUUUUCCAUUAAAACUAGAGGGAAAAAUACUCUUGUCAAUAAUUUGUUCUAAUUGAGGAUGUAUGGUUCUAAAGGCAUUUAUCACACUAGUAGACCAUGAAUCAUAAUUAGAACAAUCAUCAAAUAAUAUCUCAAGAGUUACCUCCUUUUGAGUUGCGUUCGUUGGAGGAGUCUUCUUGUUCUUUUGGGAUCUUCUACGAGCCAUCACUUCGAGUUGUUAGACUCAAGAUGAACUGCCUAGCUCUGAUACCAAUUGAUAGUCGCCUAGAGGGGGGGGUGGAUAGGCGAAACCUGAAAAUUAAAACUUUAUCCCCCAACUAGAUCCUUUGAUUAGUGGUUAGAACAAGAUGAACAAUUAUCGGAGUAUAAAAACUAAGUUCUUGCUAGUAAAGAGUAAAGCUUUCAAAUAAUGUGGAAGUGAUAAAUCAAUACAACUAAUAAGUCUAUGAUAAUAAAGCAAGAAAGCUUAGAUGAAAAGAGCACUAACUCAAGUUCUUUCUUGCGGAGUGUUGCUUCACUUAAAUGAGUGUUUAACUUGAAGCAACACCAAAUGAUAUGAGCAAAGAAUAGUGCAAGAGAACUUAGAGUAAGGGAAAGCAAACAAAUCACAAGCAAAAGCACAAUGAACACGGGUGAUUUGUUUUACCAAGGUUCGGCCCUCGAAGGCCUAGUCCCCGUUGAGGAGUCCACUUAAGGACGGGUCUUUUUCAACCCUUUCCCUCUCUCCCGAUCACACAAGGAUCGGCGAGCUCUUCUUCUUCUCAAGGAUCACUCUCGAUCCCACAAGGACCACCACAAUCUUUGGUGUCUCUUGCUAGCUUUUACAAGCCUCCAACACUUUGGAGGAAGUUUGAAUGGGAGUCAAAACUCCACGCACAAAUGAACACAAAGAUGAGGCACACACUAUCUCUCAAUGAAUCUCACAAGGCACUAGGGCUAAACUCAAUUGAGUAGCUCUCAAUUGCUCGCUCUCUCUUUUGUGGCACUUGUGUUGGUUGUAGUGGGCUAGAUCUUGUGUAUAGGAUGUAUCAAUGAAUAUAGGUGGUUGGGAGGGCUUGAGUAUGUCAACUAGAUGACUUGGAAUGUUGCUUGGACUCCCACACCUUGAAGUGGCCGGUUGGGGUGGUAUUUAUAGCCACCAUCCAAUUUUGUAGCCGUUGGAGAAGCUGCUGGCGAUGGGCGCACCGGACAGUCCGGUGCACACCGGACAUGUCCGGUGCGCCAGCCACGUCAUCCAAUCCGUUGAGAUUGGAGCUGGUCGACCGUUGGAGGCUUUGUCCUCAUGUGACACCGGACAGUCCGGUGCAGCACCGGACAGUCCGGUGCCCCUCUGACUUCUGCUCUGACACUCUGAAUUCAACUUGUGCUCAACCUUCUCAAGAUAACCGUGAUCACAUGGUGAAGAAGCUUGAGACGGGAACAACCGUGGCAUGCACUAAAUCCCUUGAAGAAAAUGUCAAGGACUUGAGGAUUGCAAAGAGGAAGGAACAAAAGAAGAAAAUCAACACCUCUUCCAAAAGCCUCAACCAUGCCUCCACAAAAGGUAACAUCCAAGGUAAUGAUCAAGCCACACUUCACAUUAAGAGGUGUAGUGAAUGCUUUGAAGAGGGGCACUUGAUUAGGUCAUGUCCCUUCAUUAAAAAUGACUUGAUUAUUAACAAAGAUGAUAUACUUUGUGUUAAAUGCUCCAAGAAGGGACACUUGCUUAGAUCCUGUCCCCAUUUAAAACAAAAAGGCAUAGGGUUAGAAAAGAAAGUUUUUACUAACCAUGUAGCAAGCAACAAACAAGGAAAGAAGAAAUCUUCAAAAUUUGGAAAACGCCUAUGCUACACAUGCCGAAAGAAGGGACAUCAAUGCAAAGAUUGUCCCAUUGGUAAAAAUCCCACUCCUAACUUGUCAUUUGAGUCAUAUAUAACUAGGCAACCCAAGAUUGCAACUUGUGCUAGAAAGGUAACGAGUCUACCAAGCGCUAGCACAAAGGACACUUGGAUUCCUAGAUCUUUGUUUACUAACCUUAAUGGACCCAUCAAGCGAUGGGUACCAAAAUGUGCUUGACAAGCUUUGUAGGAGAAGGAGAUGGUAUGAACCUUUGGGGUGCUUGAGGGAAUUAAUUCAAUUCUUAUCGAUUCAAGCUAUCAAUCUUAAAAUGAUCUACGUAUUCAAGAUUGACCCAAGGUUACUUCAAUUUAUUGUAUUCAAAACCCAUAUCAUCUCGGAAAGAUAUUAAUGUUGUAGGAAAUAAAGAAUCAUCAUGUGCGGAAUAUCAAAGCCUACAACAUGGAGGAAAGUCAAAGGAUGGUAACAUUUAUAUUCUUAAGUGCAAUUAUCUUAAAUUGUCGUGUGUCUUGUGUAGUCACAUAGAAAUAGAAAGCUCUUAAGCAUGUUUUAAAACUAUGUCAUCAUUCUUUGAAGAAAUUCCUCUCAUAUGGUAGAUUACAUAGAAAUAGAAAGCUCUUAAGCAUGUUUUAAAACUAUGUCAUCAUUCUUUGAAGAAAUUCCUCUCAUAUGGUAGAUUGUGUAUUUAUCAAUUCUAUAUUAUGACAAUCUACAUGCUUUAAAUUGUUGCAAGUUCUCAUGGCAUGUUUUUACAUUAAUUAUUCUAUUAUUGCCAUGUUCUAGAUAUAGAGAGAUAUUUCAUGUUCUUAAAAGAAUAAGGUGUCAUGUAAGGAAUUCAAAUACUUAGGUCACUUAUAAAAGGAAAAUUCUCUCUAUAACUAGAAAAGUGAGACUAAUGUUUUUAUCUAAGUAAUUUAAGUAGUCUCACUCAAGAUUUUAACCAUGCUUGUCUUAUGAGUUAAAACUAGGCAUACUUCAUGGAAUAAUCUAGUUCAUAUUAUGAAGUUUCCAUGCUUUAGUAGUUCACCUUUUCAUUCUUUAUCAAAAAUGAUUACAAAAAGGGAAACUAGUGCUUGUGUUGUUCUUAACAUCUCUCUUGAGCUUACUUAUGAAAAUCUACAAGAGAGUAAGUGCAAGUUUAAUGCCACAAGCCUCAUGGGUUGCUCUUCACCCAAAGGAAGAGAGGUAAAAGCAAAGGUAUGGGAACUCAUCUUCUUAGUUAAAUUUAGUUCCCAUCUCAAUGUCUAUUUAAUCUAAAUUAUCAUAUCUACCCUUGUGAGAAAUAGAUUCUUUAUUGGACUCAUUUCAACUAAAUGUGCAUUCAAUCUCAUUCUUCUAAAAACUCAUGUCCAUUAGAAUCUAUUUAAUGCCUUUGCGAUAUUUAUAUAUAUGUUAUCAUAUUGAUCUGCUUCCAAGUGAUGAUUAACUAACUUCAAUAUGAUAAAGUAAAAUCUCCAAUGAUUAUUAAAAUGCUUAAAAGGUGCUCACUCAUUUUUCUCAAAUGAAAUGCACUGAUGUUAAGGAUUUUACUUCAUGUCUAUGUGACUUGUGGAUGAUGAAUUAUGUAUGCUAAUUAUCUAAAGUAAUCAUCCUUUCCCAUUUACUCCCUUGCGCUAUUAACAUGUCUCUUGAGUAUUUUCAAGGAAAAAGAGACAAAUACAAAAGGAGGACACUCAAAUGAAAAAGGAAGAACAUCAAGAACAACAACACCUACUUGGACAAUAAGGUUUUCACAACAAUCAAUGGUGUGGUUGUAAGCAUUCUAAAUCCUUUUUCAUUAUGAGGUUACCAGGCUUAAGUUGUUUAUUGCAAAAUUCAUAAGCCUCGAUCAAGAUGUAUAAUGAGUCUCCCUUUAUGUCCUUAAAAGUGAAUACAUCAAAAUCAAUUCUUUCAAUUACUUGAUGCAUAUCUUUAGGGGGAGUCCAUUAUUAUAUUUUGAUUAUGUUGAGACUAUUGCUUGAUCUUAGUAAUUUCAUAUAGUCUCUUGCAUGAGAAUAAUGUUUCUCAUAUAGUAUGCUACUACACAUCAAUCCAACCUGUUAAAAUAAAGUCGCUUUUAUCAAGGAUUGUUGCUUUCAUUUCUAAAGUAGCAUGCUUAUUGGAUUCUCCUAUUUUUAAGCUUGUUUGAAAAUCUAUUGCCUAUGUUGUUCUCUUGAUCGCAUAUUGGUUGAUCAUUGAACAACUUCAAUUAUCACUUAUGCUUCUUAGUGCCUCAUAUAAUUUCAAUUUGAUUUCAAUUGGUAAUUUUAAUUGACAUCUAUCUUGAUAUGCACUAAGGAAAAAGGAGAAUUCAUGAUUCAUUUAUGCAACUUGUGAUCCAUUUGAUAUAUGCUAACAAUAACUUGAAAAAGGUCACUAGUUGAAGAACUCUCUCUUGUGCAAAGUAUUUCCAUAUAUUGUUGUUAAGUAUAGGUCUUAAGCAACUAAGACUAAGGACAAAGCACAAUGAAGAGAGCGUCUCUAUGUGAAGGUACAAAAGGGUAAAACCACUCCCUUUCAUUCAAACUUGUACCUAAAUCUUCCUGUUCUAUACUUUCUUUACAUAUCUUGUAUAAAAGGAAGAGAAAGCAUGUCCAUGCAUUUUCCCUGCUUCAUACCUAGUUUAACCUCUCAAACAUUUCAUUCUUGCAUUUAUGCAUCUUUGUUAACCUGGAUGAAGUAAUCUUAUUGUCAAAGAGCUUAAAGCUUGACCUUGUAACGAGGAUAAGCUGCCUUUGUCUCAAAGGUGGAUGGUCCUUAAGCCUCUUUGAAAUCCUUAAGGAAAAAUGCUUAAAAUAUUUGUAACAUGCUUUCAGUAGUGCAUAAACUGUCAUGAGCAUCACACUUAUCCUAUGACACAAUGCACUUCACAUUCUAUAUGAUUUAGAGAUGUUCUCAUCAACCUAACUAUGUGCAAUUGGCAUUUUAGGCCAAAAUAUGUGUUCUUCCUCUCAAUGCACAUACUUAGGGGGAGAAAUCUAUGUUGUAUAGAACUAUGAUCAUGCUUAAUUUAAUGUAUCUUUUUGAUCAUAUCUCUUUAUGUCUACGACUAAUGUGCUUUCAAGUGAUCUCUAUGAUUAAGUCGUAGAUUGAAAGGAAAAUGGAAUAUUCGGCAAAGACGACGCUUCCACUCAACUCCAUCGGUAUUAUCCACUCUUUGUCGGUACUCCGCAUAGUUCUCCACUUUGGUAUAAUCUUCACUCAUAUCUCUAUUUCAAUUGGAAUAUUUCAAUUGUUUGCCAAAGGGGGAGAGAAAGAAAAGGGCUUAUAUUUCACUCUAAAUAUCCGUUUUUGGCGAUUCAUGCCAAAGGGGGAGAAAGUAUUAGCCCAAAGCAAAAGGACCGCACCAUCACCCUAAUUUUUAAAAACUAGUAAAAGUAUUAGCCCAAAGCAAAAGGACCGCACCAUCACCCUAAUUUUUAAAAACUAGUGUUUUAAAAUUGGUAAAUUUCAAAUUGGUAUCUCUUUGUGGGGGAGAAAGUAGCACCUUUCAAAAUUAAUAUCUUAAAACCCUCUUGAACACUAAGAGGAAAAUUUAUUGAGGCGGAGUUUUGUUUAGUCAAAAGAAAAGCAUUUGAAACAGGGGGAGAAAAUUUCAAAUCUUGUAAAUGCUUCUCAAGAAUCCUAUUCAUUUACUUUUGACUAUUUGCAAAAGACUUUGAAAAGAAUUUCCAAAACAUUUGCAAAACAAAACUUGUGGUGCAAGUAUGGUCCAAAAUGUUAAAUAAGAAAGAAAAACCAUUCAUGCAUAUCUUAUGAAAUCAAUAUUGGUUUAAUUCCAAGUAAUCUUUGCACUUACCUUAGGCAAACUAGUUCAAUUAUGCUCUUAUAUAUUUGCUUUGGUUUGUGUUGGCAUCAAUCACCAAAAAGGGGGAGAUUGAAAGGGAAAUAGGCUUUAAACCUUUUCCUAAAUGAUUUUGGUGGUUGAAUGACCAACACAACUAAUUGGACUAACUAGUUUGCUCUAGAUCAUAUAUUCUACAGGUGUCAAAGAUUCAACUCAAAACCAAUAAAAAGAACAAGACAAGGUUCAAAAAAAAGGAGCAAAGAGAAACCGAAGUGCUCCCUGGCAUGGCGCACCGGACUGUCCGGUGUGCCACCGGACAGUGUCCGGUGCACCAGGGAGGAUUGCCUUCAAACUCUUCACCUUCGGGUUUCUCAAGCGCAGCCCACUAUAAUUCACCGGACUGUCCGGUGCACCACCGGACAGUGUCCGGUGCUCCAGAGUGAAGCGGCUCUGAACUGGCCAGCUUCGGGAAAGUGGGAGGUCGCUCCGCUAAAAUUCACCGGACCGUCCGGUGUACACCGGACUGUCCGGUGUGCCAGCGGAGCAACGGUCAUCUGCGCGCAACGGUCGACUCUGCAAAGUGUACAGUUGAAUUCAGAGUGUCAGAGCAGAAGUCAGAGGGGCACCGGACUGUCCGGUGCUGCACCGGACUGUCCGGUGCCACAUGAGGACAAAGCCUCCAACGGUCGACCAGCUCCAAUCUCAACGGAUUGGAUGACGUGGCUGGCGCACCGGACAUGUCCGGUGUGCACCGGACUGUCCGGUGCGCCCAUCGCCAGCAGCUUCUCCAACGGCUACAAAAUUGGAUGGUGGCUAUAAAUACCACCCCAACCGGCCACUUCAAGGUGUGGGAGUCCAAGCAACAUUCCAAGUCAUCUAGUUGACAUACUCAAGCCCUCCCAACCACCUAUAUUCAUUGAUACAUCCUAUACACAAGAUCUAGCCCACUACAACCAACACAAGUGCCACAAAAGAGAGAGCGAGCAAUUGAGAGCUACUCAAUUGAGUUUAGCCCUAGUGCCUUGUGAGAUUCAUUGAGAGAUAGUGUGUGCCUCAUCUUUGUGUUCAUUUGUGCGUGGAGUUUUGACUCCCAUUCAAACUUCCUCCAAAGUGUUGGAGGCUUGUAAAAGCUAGCAAGAGACACCAAAGAUUGUGGUGGUCCUUGUGGGAUCGAGAGUGAUCCUUGAGAAGAAGAAGAGCUCGCCGAUCCUUGUGUGAUCGGGAGAGAGGGAAAGGGUUGAAAAAGACCCGUCCUUAAGUGGACUCCUCAACGGGGACUAGGCCUUCGAGGGCCGAACCUCGGUAAAACAAAUCACCCGUGUUCAUUGUGCUUUUGCUUGUGAUUUGUUUGCUUUCCCUUACUCUAAGUUCUCUUGCACUAUUCUUUGCUCAUAUCAUUUGGUGUUGCUUCAAGUUAAACACUCAUUUAAGUGAAGCAACACUCCGCAAGAAAGAACUUGAGUUAGUGCUCUUUUCAUCUAAGCUUUCUUGCUUUAUUAUCAUAGACUUAUUAGUUGUAUUGAUUUAUCACUUCCACAUUAUUUGAAAGCUUUACUCUUUACUAGCAAGAACUUAGUUUUUAUACUCCGAUAAUUGUUCAUCUUGUUCUAACCACUAAUCAAAGGAUCUAGUUGGGGGAUAAAGUUUUAAUUUUCAGGUUUCGCCUAUCCACCCCCCCCCCUCUAGGCGACUAUCAACGGGUAAGAGUGCGCGUAAGCGGCAAGGCUGACCGAGCCGAGGGACUCCUACGCCUCUGGGAUACGGAUACCUCACUCAUCACCUUCCGUGAGAAGCAGCUCUCGCUCGCACAAACAAUUCUGUUACCGACAAAAAAGUCCGGGUACUCGAAGCAAGAGGAAAAGAGACACAACUUCACAACACGGCGAGGGUGUGUUUUGGCCUCGGCGGCCGUAGGAAACACACGCUACAAGACGAUCCGAUCCUGCAGGCUCGGAUCUUGACGCUUGAAGGGAGCAGUAGCACCCUCGGCGUCGACAACACCUUCGGCGAAGUCCGACCCAGCCUCGGACGGCGACGCGGUACGAAGACCUCCACUCUGAAGGACGGCGUCAUCACCAAGCCCGGGCCGUCGCCGCCAGGGUCUUCUCCGGGAAUCCGGCCCGAGCAGGCGGCUCGGCCGGUCACCCCGAGGCCUCGGCCAGCUGUCCUCCGAGGACGUCAGCCCGACCCGAGGCCUCGGCUGGUCAAUUCCGGCGUCGGUCCCGCUAACGGACGACCCGGCCAGGCUCCGGCCGACCAGGUCUUCCUCUCGAGCCAACUCUGCCUCUGUUCACGAUGACGCCGCUACCCCUGGCCUCGGCUCAUCGAAGAGCGGUCGAGGGGUUCCUUUAACUGAGCAAGAGAAGCCUCGGACAACAAGGCUGACCGAGCCGAGGGACUCCUACGCCUCCGGGAUACGGAUACCUCACUCGUCACCCUUACACGGGGCGACUCACGCUUGGUGAACGGUUCAGACAACCAACAGGCGAGUCUUAGUGCUCGAAAAUGAGGAAAAAACACGGCUCCAUGCCGAAAUUACGUACACGUUCAGGCCUCGACAGCCACAAUGAACAAAAACACUGGCAUUCAAAGUGCCAUUACAAACAGAACUCCGGUUCCACCUCCGCAGGUACGAACAACCCCACUCGAUGGGGGGGGCUGCGGAGCAACAGAAGACUGACGGGCGGCUCGCCGUCGCCCGCUCUGGCAGCAGCAACAACGACUCCCGCUCCGGGUGGCCGAACUGCAGCAGCGAGGGCCUCAGGGCGGAUGCUGCUGCAAUCUUGCCCUCGCCCACGCCGACGCUCGAGGGGCGAGGACAAGUACAAAGAGCUGGAGACCCGAAGCGCGGAUGGUGGUGGUGAUCCCGUCGGCAACGGGGACUUCUCGAGCCGCCUCCACCUCGGCACCGACGACAGGGGUCGUCAGCCCUCCGGCAGACCCCCACUCAGAUCCUCCCGGACGAGUGGGGCGCCGACCUCCAUGCGGAGGCACCGUACCGGUGCAAAGGCAGGACCGCCCCAGAACACGAACACCGCCCUAGCAGCGCGCGACAUCUUGGGUGGUCCUCCCGUGCACACGGCGCGGCAGCCGCUGUAAACCCUAAAUUAUAGGUUUAAGAAAAUUAGGUAAUUUUUUUAAUUUGGAAGAAUAAAAUUGGAGUUUAUGAGUUAUUUUUUUCUUUCAUGCAUACAAGCAUGUAUCUAAAUGGAUAAAGUAGUGAAAGAAUUAAAUAAAUAAAAUUUAAUUAUGCCUCAUGCUGGUUUUUGAAUAUGUGUAUCUAGUUUUAUUUAAAAUAUAAUCUUAGACUUGAAAUUCAUAUCAUAUUUGAAUAUAGUAAUCCAAAAAUUCGAAAUAGAAAAUUAAAAAAAAAGGAAAGAACAUAUUUGUGUUUGGGCCAAAAUUUCUCAGCCCAUCACCUCAUCCCAUUCCGUCGGCCCACCUACUCCUCUCGCGCGCUGAAUCGCGGUGGUUCCACUGCCGCGUGGGGCCCCUUGUCAGUCAUUGCCGCGUCCAACUCCUCAGCCUCACACGCACGCGCGGGCUCACCUUGGCUGGCGCGUGGGACCAGGAAUCGGGCAGCUCGUCCCCUCCACACGGACUCCGCCCCAAUCUCAACUGGGCGCCGAUCUCCGCGCCGCCAUGGACUCCGCCGCUUCUCCCGGGGAAAGGCUUCCCUGUGCGGACUAUAAAACCCCUGGGCGUGCGCUCCUCUUGUUCACCCUUGUGCGGAACUCAACGAGUGCGCCGCGUGCAGGAGGAGGGGAGAAUCGGGAGAUCUUGGGUACACGGGAGAAACCCCCCAGCCACCAUUAACGGCCGCUGCUCCGUCGUUGCGUUUUCUGGAGUUGCGCGGGCGCUGUCCCGAUCGUGCCGCACUUGUAGGGCACCUCGGGGGAGAGCGAAUUCCUGUGGGGUGGCUCCUAAUUGCUCACCGACGUACCGCGACCACCUUAAUCCGCAUCUUCCGGUGGCUGAGCUCCUACUCCAUCUUCUUACGGUGGUAAGCACCUCCGUUAAGUUCCCCUCAGUCCCCUCUAUGCAAAGCUUCAUUUGGACUUGAGAAUCAGUCACCACAUCUCGUUUUCGCGCAACCCCGGUGAUGGCGCCGCCGUGGUAGCUGCUUGCGCCGGCCGCUAUUGGCCCUGUUUGGCACAGCUUAUUUUCAGCUUCUUCACAAAUUUAAGCAGAAGUUCUACCAAACAGCUAACUUCUGCAGCAGCUUAUCAGUUCAGCUGCUUCUCAGAAUACACUAAAAGCAGCCAAUAACCAGAAGCUGCUUUUCACCAGCUUAUCAGAUAAGCUGCUUUUUCAACAAGCAGCAGCUGUGCCAAACAGGGCCAUUGUGUCGGGAGGGAUGAAGUGGGCGCGACCGUGGGAUGCUCGUUCAACAAUCGGGAUUGGGUCCUGGAGUUGUGAGGAUUGAUGCAUCCGGGACCGUCCGAUCGAGGUUAAGCGGAUAAGAUUAGAUCUCCAUCUAGUGUUCCAACGUUGUGAUCUGGGUCGUUCGUCGGGUAUCCAACGGUGGAUAUGUGAUCACAUGUAUUUGAAAUCUGCACCGUUGAUCCUCAAUCCGGUGGACCAGAAAACCUACCGGUUCAGUGCUUAGCCAAUUUGAUCCUUGCCCUCGGUUUCUAAUCCUGUGGCUCGGAUCUUAGCAUACCCCUUCGGUGGCCGUUUUCCUAAAGAGACCCCGCAUUUUUUUCAAAAUAACCCGCGGUCCACGGCAUGGGUAAACUGUGUCUUGGAACAAUUUACACCGAGACCCAUGGGUUCUCUGUAAAUAGUGCGCGCAGCCCAGGCAGGAAAGAAAAACCUAUAAAAUCAUUUAGAAAUAGAUUUUUAGUGUAAAAAUAAAUGCCAGAACUUGUUUAAUGUAUAGAAAAUGCAUACUUAGUCCAAAUCGACCCAUUUCAGUCUCUAUAAUUUUGUAAUAAUAUUGUUUAUCACUUAGUAAAUUUGUUUAGUCAUGAAACUUGAACUAAAAUUAUUCACAUGAGUUAUGCUAUUCCAAGUACUUGAUAACUUCAGAAAUUCAUAACCUAAAAUCUAUAACUCCAAAAUUAAUGAUUCCUGUUCCUAUGAUCUUAUUUCAAUACGUAGAUCAUUAUUAUGUAUUUUGCAUAUAUGUUUGGUGUAAAGUUAAUUUUGCCUAUACACUGUUUGUUUGUAAUGCUACGACUAGAGCGAGGCUACGAGUCAUCUGAAGAUCAUCCUGGUACCUGGAAUCUCAAGUCCCAGGCAAGUUGUGCCCUUGAUCACUUCUUUUACCCACUCAUGUUCUAAUUAAUCAUAAUGAUCUGCAUAGGUUAAUUUGAUGGGACCUAAUAGGUUACCCUAGUUUGUCUAUCUUUAUGCCUUGUUUACCACUAAACUUUCUGGGUAGUACUUGCUAGUGCUAUAUGUGGAUUUGGGCAUUGAGAUACAUAUUAUUCAUACUUUUGUUAUCAGUUGCUAUUUACUGUUCAUGAUAAGAUCAUUAUGUUAAUUGGAACAUGGAGAACCACCCGGGAAAACAGUGCUACCACAAGGGUUUAAUGGGACUCCCUUGGCCGAUUAAUUAGGAAAGCUAGUGGAAGACUACCUUACCCGAAAGGGGCAAGGGCAGUAGGGGAGUGGUCAGUGUAGGGAGGCCCUCGGGAGGAUUUUGCUGCGAUGGCGGUCCUGCAAGGGAUUCCUGCAUUGGAGCUUCCUAUAAACUGUAGCGGGUUUUCUAAAGCUAGUGGAACUUUGUAAAGGCCUCGUAGUGUUACCCUGCCUCGCCUCCUCGGUAGAGGUGUAUGGGAAGUCGCGAUCCCUUGGCAGAUGGGUAACAUGACUUGUGGGUAAAGAUACGCAACCUCUGCAGAGUGUAAAACUGGUAUACUAGCCGUGCUCACGGUCAUGAGCAGCUCGGACACUCACAUGAUUAAUCUAUGGAACUUAAAUUCAAUUUGUCAUAUGCAUUGCAUCGCAGGUGACGUUGUUACUUCUGUUCUACUAUUUAAUUGGGUUGGUAUUUACUUAUACUUAGUAAUGGCUAAUAAAAUUUUGACCAACUUUAAAAGCAAUGCUUAGCUUCAGCCAUCCUCUUUGGUAAGCCUUACACUUCACAUGAGCUCCCACCUUUGGCGAGUUCAUACACAUUAGUCCCCACAACUUGUUGAGCGAUGAACGUAUGUGAGCUCACUCUUGCUGUCUCACACCCCCACAGGUCAAGAACAGGUACCGCAGGAUGAGGCGCUUGGAGGAUGCUGCGAUGUGUUCGUGAGAGGUCUAGGCCGUCGUCUCCCAGUCAACUUUGGGUUGCUGGACCGUUGUCUCCUUAUAAUGUAAUUAUUUAUUUUGUAUAGAACUCCUGUUAUAUAUAAAGAUGUGACAUUCGAUCCUGUGCCACUAUACAUCAUAUGUGUGAGACUUGGUCCCAGCAUAUCUGGUGUUUAUGUUCGCGCCCGGGUCUUGGUGCCCCUAAAACCCGGGUGUGACAGCCGCCUCUCGGCAGGAGGGGGCACCGGGAGCCAAGCCGAUGAGCCCGACGCGUUGAGGCUGACGACGUCCGCCGUCGACCAGCCCCGCGUUGUCGAAGUCCGACCUGCCCGCAGGGCCAGUGAGCGCCCUCUCCCUCGAACGCCGCAGGAGAGGCCGACCCACGGACCCACGCGGGAGGUAGAGCUCCGGCUCAGCCCGGCCUCCACCCCAGCGAGGAUGAUGAACAUCCUUGAAGCUGAGGGUGGGACCAAGAUCGCAGCCCGGCUUGCUUCUCCCCACCCAGGGGCUGGUGGUCACCGUCUCGGGUGACCGCCGGUGGAGGGGUACAGCCGGGCCGGCUGAUGAAAAUCCUUGAAGCCGAACGAUGGCUGAAAGGUACCAACUCCCGCGGAGUUGCAUUCCUCCAACGACGAGGCGGAAAGACGGUGGGUAUCCCCCAUCCGGGGGCUUGGAAGGUGGAAAGGCACGAUACAUAAGGGAGCGCGAAGACAUGGUCGCCUUCCAAGGGGUCACCCUCCUUUUAAAGGCGACUCUCCCUACUUGCGUCCCCAGCCGUCAUGGGCUGAGUCUUCUCCAACACACUCCAAGGUCCUCCCCUACGGCGCGGGGGCUGGGCCCCACACGUCAUGCAAGCCGGCUCAGAGCAGAAGAAGCCAAACCGCCGCGCGCGGUGCGUGCAACCGCCCAGCGGUUGCAAGCGGCUCUCCACUUUUGCCCAGACCAACGGGCGGGAGGGCGAGCAGCCAUGCAGGCGGCAUGCAACCGCGCCAAAUGGGCGCACUUCUCCGACUCCCAACACGCCCGGCAUGGAGACCUAGGCCCACGCGUCAUGCGACCGGCGCGCCGAAUGCUUCGUGCAUGCAGCUGCACCGCCACUUGCGCCACCACCGCGCCUCCUCGACUGCGGAACCAAUACCGCGACUCGAGGCGACCCAGCGCACGACUCAGCAGCGCUAGCCUGGCGCGACGGUCAAUACGGCCAAAAAUGGGCUGGCAGUAAUGGUGGUGGCAGGCGGGCAGGAGCAGCGGUCACGUCGUCAGCCCAGCCUACGUCCCAUCCAGGGGCGACGAGAGAACCCUCUCUCACGGCGUGAAGACAACGCGUCCGUGUUCCGUUCCUCGAACGGCUCGCGCACGCGCAACGACCGCCUCGCGAACCACUCGCCCCGUCGCAUUAACUCCGCGGCGGGACAGGCGGCGCCUCUAGCAGGAGAAGCGGACGACGCUUCGCCUUCGCCAUAAUGACCGCGUCAAAAAAGGUACGCCGCGUCGUUCGAUUUCGUAUCCUUUUCCUUUUUUCCUCUUUCUCUCUCUUGCAACAGGGACCGGGAAAGGGGGAUACCCCGAAAAGGAUCCUUCCCCGUGAAGGAACCAGGCUCCGAGCCUCCCUACUGAUCAGAGGUUCGAAGGCUGGCCCCUCGGAAGGGUUCGACAGCCGCCUCAGAUCGCGUGGGCUCUACACCCACUACUGGUCAGAGGUUCGAAGGCCGGCCCCUCGAAAGGGUUCAACGGCCGCCUCAGGCUACUCGGGCUCCGCGCCCACUACUGAUCAGGGGUUCGAAGGCUGGCCCCCGAAGGGUUCACAGCCGCCUCAGACAUAGAGCGAGGGAUGACCAUGGGUACGUUCGAUACAUAACCAAGGCUCGGGCUACGCUCCCGAGGUACCCUAGGACAUUUCUGAGACCAGCGGGAACGAUCUUGUAACGGAAUCCCAUCAGAGGGAGGCAUCGAGCCCUCGGACCCCGUCGCCAGGGGACCGGGUCCGGCAGAUCACCCGCAGGUACUUUUGGGCGCGCCUCUGGGCCCCUAGCCGACCCCUAACGAACGGGGCACGGACGUCCACUCGGAUUACCCGCCUGCAGCUCACCGGAGACACCAUGUUCGGCGCCCAUCGAGGGAAACAUGGCGCUCUCCCCCCCUCCUCCUUGCGGAAAGGCGAUGCAGGGGCGUAUGUAAAAAAGUCGAGUCUGUCCCUGAUCGCCCUCUCGCCCUGUGCAGAGGCUCGAGGGCUGCUCUCGCAAACCCGGCUCCGGCCGAACCGUUGACAGCGUCAACAUACCAGCCCGAGAACUUGGGACCCGACCGUACACCCGGGCUACGCCCAGCUCGCAUGAGGGAACGACCAGACCAGCCGAAGCAUUACGCGAGGCAUUAAGACCUCGGAGGAGUCAAACCACUCCUCCGAGGCCUCGGGGGCUACACCCGGCGGGUGCGCUCGCACGCACCCACCGGAACAAAACGCAACCGAGAAAGGCUGGUCCCCUUGCAAAAAAGUGCGACGAAAGCCUCCAAGCGAGUGCUAACACUCCCUUCGAGGCUCGGGGGCUACUGUCGGGGACCAUAAUUAGGGGUACCCUCAAGGCUCCUAAUUCUCAGCUGGUAACCCCCAUCAGCAUAAAGCUGCAAAGGCCUGAUGGGUGCGAUUAGGUCAGGGAUCAGUCCAUUCGAGGGACUCGAUCACGCCUCGCCCGAGCCUAGCCUCGGACAAGGGCAGCCGACCCUGGAGGAUUUCCGUCUCGCCCGAGGCCCCCCUCCAGCGGCGAACAUAUUUCCGGCUCGCCCGAGGCCCUGUCUUCGCCAAGAAGCAACCCUGACCAAAUCGCCGCACCGACCGACCAAAUCGCAGGAGCAUUUAAUGCAAAGGCGGCCUGACACCUUUAUCCUGACGCGCGCGCCCCAGCCGACAGAGCCGAAGUGACCGCCGUCACUUCGCCGCUCCACUGACCGGCCUGACAGAAAGACAGCGCCACCUGCGCCGCUCCGACUGCGGUGCCACUUGACAGAGUGAGGCUGACAGGCAGUCAGGCCCGGUCGCAGGCACCAUAGGAAGCUCCACUUCGCCCGACCCAGGGCUCGGACUCGGGCUAAGUCCCGGAAGACGACGAACUCCGCUCCACCCGACCCAGGGCUCGGACUCGGGCUAAGCCCCGGAAGACGACGAACUCCGCUCCGCCCGACCCAGGGCUCGGACUCGGGCUCAGCCCCAGAAGACGACGAACUCCGCUCCGCCCGACCCAGGGCUCGGACUCGGGCUAAGCCCCGGAAGACGACGAACUCCGCUCCGCCCGACCCAGGGCUCGGACUCAGGCUCAGCCCCAGAAGACGACGAACUCCGCUUCGCCCGACCCCAGGGCUCGGACUCCGCCCUGGCCUCAGCCGACGGUCUCCGCCUCGCCCGAACCAGGGGCUCGGACUCGACCUCGGCCACGGAAGACAGACUCGACCUCGGCUUCGGAGGAGCUUCCACAUCGCCCAACCUAGGGCGCAGACCGGCCACGUCGACAGGAGGCGCCAUCAUCACCCUACCCCGAACUGACUCGGGCCAUGGGGACAAGACCGGCGUCCCAUCUGGCUCGCUCUGCCAGAUAGGCAAUGAUGGCGCCCCGCAUACUCUGUGACGACGGCUGCUCUCAGCCCCCUUACGGAAGCAAGAGGACGUCAGCAAGGACUCAACAGCUCCGACAGCUGUCCCUCCGCCAGACUCCAGCACUCCUCCGACGGCCAUGACAUCACACCAGCUGGGUGCCAAAAUCUCUCCGGCUGCCACGACGGCAUGUACUUAGGGCGCUAGCUCUCCUCCGCUAGACACGUAGCACUCUGCUAUACCCCCUAUUGUACACCUGGAUCCUCUCCUUACGCCUAUAAAAGGAAGGACCAGGGCCCUCUUAGAGAGGGUCGGCCGCGCGGGGACGAGGACGAGACAGGCGCUCGCUUGAAGCCGCUCGCUCCCUCUCCCGCGUGGACGCUUGUAACCCCUACUGCAAGCGCACCCGACCUGGGCGCGGGACGAACACGAAGGCCGCGGGAUUUCCACCUCUCUCACGCCCGUCACCGGCCACCUCACUUCCCCCCUUCGCGCUCGGCCUCGCGUCGACCCAUCUGGGCUGGGGCACGUGGCGACAUUCACUCGUCGGCUUAGGGACCCCCGGUCUCGAAACGCCGACAGUACCCUUUACCUUGUGUAUCCUGCAGCUCUAAAGUUGUGGCUUGAGUGUUUUUCUUCAGGAAUACAUAUGGAGUAUUAUCUCAAGAACAUCUAUCAGUAUCCACACGACAUAUAAUUAGAUGUCUAGUAUUAUAUUGACAUUGAUUGUUAAUGGUACAGACUAUUUGCCAUGUGUAUCCUUUUUCACUGUUGAGGUCGCAGGAUGUAGCAGGAAAGGGAUACGCCAAUCAGACAGCAAACCUUGUAACUUGAUUGUGGUAAUGCUGUGCUGUAAAUUUGAACUCCGUUCAUUCCAAUUUCCACGUUCCUCCUGUGGCUAUGCACUUACUGGAACAACAUGGUGUAUUCAUCACAUUCUUGACAACAGUUAACUACCACAGUUCAUCUGGUAGUACCUAACGGAGUCCUUACUGUUGUACAUGUGAAACAAACAUAGCAAUGUCUAUUAUUUGCUGCAAACGGAUUCUGCCUAAAGGAGGGAAGAAGUGGACAAUAGAUGGGCUCCCAGCCGCGAGAGCCCAACCGCUGAAAAAAGGGGGAAAAAAACUGGCCUCGAUUCAUUCGGUCAUCUCGGCCCUCACAACGACUUCCAACUUCAGAUCGAACUCGAACCACGGCAUCUGGUGGCCCAGCCAUCCAACUUCGGGUCGGGCUUGGCUGGCCCAGAUCUGGAUCCAGUCCAGCGGCCUACUUCCCUUAAACCCAGCGCCCUCCCCUUCCGUUCUUCUGCCGCGUGAUUUCUCUGCUGCCUCGCCGUCGCCUUGCGCAAAUUCCACCCAGCGUCUCUGCUCAAUCGCCGUCGCCCUCCGCAAUCCACCCAGCUUCUCGUCGAUCGUCUUCUGCCGGCAUGCGGAGCAUUCGCCAACGCAGGAUUUCCAUGCCCUUGGGACCCACGAGGUCGGUCGCCAAGAAGCCGUCCGUGACUCCGUCGCCGCGACACGGCCCGAGAGACGCCGUCUGGGGUCCUUACCCUCGUUCACCGCAUCAGAAUAUCCCAUCGUCGACCAUAGCCCGUUCCCGAGGCCCGACCGUCGGCGGCGCGUCCCCACGGCACAGGCCUCCCGCUUCGUCUCGGUGCACCCCCGCCUCUCCGCCGCCGCCGCCGCCGCCGCCUCGGUCCGCUCCAUCUUCGGACAUUUACGCAGGCGGAGAUACUCCUGGCAUCCCCACGCGUCUGAGCCCUGGGACGGUGGUUCAUGUCCGCACGAGGACUGCGGCGCUGAAGACGGGGCAGGUUCUCGUGUUCUGGCUCAAAGCCACGAUCGUGUCGCAGUCCACCGACGGAGGCUACGGGGUUGUUUACGACGCCAACUGGCCACGCGACGAUCCCAAAAGCACCGUCUACGUCACGCCGCCCCAAAUCAGGAUGAUCGAUCCGUCUCCGUCGCCGACAACUCCACCGCCCACCGCCGCUGUCGCCGCAACUACGAAGAAGGAGAUGCCGAGGCCAACCACGGCAGGGAAGAGCUUGCGCCUCAUCCGCAGCCUCUUUCCCGAGAUGGAUCUCCCCUCCCAUGCUUGACGAUUUAACAGGAAUCGGAUUCUGUGCUCAGGGGCGAAACUACAUAUUAGCUUGUGGAUACACAUGCACCCAAAAAUUAGUUAUAAUAGUUAAAUUUUCACCAUAUAUGUAUCACCCACAUCUCAUCCUUAUGCACCCACAAGGGAGGUGCACCCCUAUAUAUUCGCUAUAGCUUCGCCACUGUCUGUGCUGAACAUGCUUUGCUUCUUCGUUCAUGAGCAGUUUUUUUUGGGGGUGGGGGGGGGGGGGGGCUGAUUAGUUCAUAAAACUGUGCAAGUCCCAAGUGACCGUGUGUUAUCAGCAAAACUAAACUGCCAGUGCCACCAUGGUUGUUGUAAAUCCUUAACUUACAUCAUUAAUGAUUAAUUAGUUUGAGUGCUUGUUAUGUUGUUCUUUCUUUCCAGCUACAUGUUUGAGAUGGUUACUACUUAUGCGGUGUUUUUUGCAUUAAUAAGCAAUUGAUGGUGCCCUGCUUCUUGUUCGACCAUUCUUACUCUCAGUGCUUUCUACAGAGAUUAAAGUGGUAGUAUCUCUGUUUUUUUUCUUUCCGGAAGCCUGCAUGCGGUCAAUCAAGUCAGUUCUUGCAAAUCAAACUUUGCGACACUUCAGGCACUCCUCAAGCUAUUCUAUGCUGUUGCAAAUGAAAACCAGCAUAAGCAGUCAAAUGAUAUGUUGCUUCUGUUCUGUGAUUUACACCAUUCUAAAUGAAACUUCUGGAGCUGUUGGGUUAAUUGCUGCGAAUUCCAUUAGUAUCCUUUGAUUUACCACUGUCCAAUCUACCUUCCUAAUUUUUCUGAAUGCAUUUUCCCUGUGCAACUUGAUUUAUUCCUUGACUAACUGUAAAGAUAUGUUGCUAAAAAUAGGUAUUCUGCAAUAUUUAUUAAAGAUUAUUUCUAGGUACAUAACUUUGUUCAUAUUUGACAUUGGGAUCUCUCAGGUUGUCUGUUUUUUAAUAGAAGUUAGUAGCUGAUGACAUUCUUUACAGGGCUAAUUCUCUUUUCCUAAUUUCUGGUCUGACCACUGUUUUCUCUGAGAGGGUUUUCUUGAACAGAAUGAGGUUCAAGCAGACUGCUCCCAUUCAAAUAGUGAUUGGCAUCUCGCCACUUGAGAUGUAAUCACCAGAUCACUGCAUAAAUAUGCGUUUUCUCUGUUUUUUUUACUUGUGAUAAUCAUUCUAUUGUGACCUGUUUGUAUAGAUACCGUGGUGAAAACUGAAAAGGCAGUUCUUGAGUCAGAUAAUCAUAACUUUGAAGCAUUAUGACAAAAGUUAGUGAUUUGAAGACAGACAAGCAGUGCAUUAUGCUUUCUUGAACACCUGAUGAAAAAGAACUGGUACUAUGCUGGGUGAGUAAGUUGAUGCUGUGUAUGCAGGAGAUCGGAAGUUAACAAAAUAGAAGGAUUAACCGGUCGGAUAGAUAAAUCGGUUGUGUAUGGGAGUUGCUAUUUUUUUCUUGUUUGAUUCAAUCUUUGUUUUACAGAUACAUAUCUAUUGAGUUAGUGAUUCCAUAUUUUAUAAAUAAUUGUGAAAGAAGUUUAAGUUCAUUUUGUUAAGAAGAGUUUUGGGUGUCUCUUUUGUGAUUCGUUUGUUUCUUUGGGUUCCUUGUAUUCUAAGAACUUUUCUAAAGCAUAUAACAACUAGUUUAUUGUGGUGUUUUUUAUUUAGGUUUUUUCUUCGUUCUCAUUGAAAUAGAAAGCACAAUUUUUCCGUUGUUCCGUUGUGUUCUUCCAUCAUCACCAAAAAUACUCACUCAAACACUUGAUUCUAGUCGGUUCAAUUGCUCCGUUGUGUUCUUCCAUCAUCACCAAGAAUAUUCAACCACUUGUUGGCUCGAGAGCAUCUUUCGUUUCGGAUUAAAGCUAGUUGUUUGGACUGCUGCAAAUAUAAUCUAUCGAUUGUUUUUAAUUUGGUGUUGGAGGGAUUGAGUAAAGAUUUAGAAAGAAAACUAAGGUUGCCUUAUGCUUAUUGGCUAUCAUUCAUCUCCAUCUGGUUGUUUGUUUUACUAGACCUGAUAUUUCCUUUGUAGUUAGUAAAUUGAGUUGAUUUGUUAAGAUGAUCAUUGGUAUGCAUUUAAAAUAAGUAUGCACUACUUGAGUAGUACAAUAAAUUAUGGACUUCACUAUACUAUGUAUCAUAUGCUAUUUGAGGGACAUAGUGAUCCAAAUGGAGGGUGAACCGAGAAACUAUAUAGUGAUAGUUGUUGAAUAUAUAAAUACGACUAAAAAAUUUAGUAGAUUUAUUUAUAAAAGAUCUAUCUUGAUACAUGAUAGACUCACUUGAGUUGCACAUAGUGACAACCUAACCCCUUGUAAUCGGAGAUUAGACCUGACCAUGGGACACCGGAUUCGACUAAUGUGACAGGCAGGUAUGGCCAUAGCUUUUGACCCACAACAAUCCACGUACUAAGUACGGUCCAUGGUUUUUGACCCAAAAUCUGACCCAAGCCAAAAACCCAAUCCAACCCAAAAACAAUCGACCUGCCGCGUCUAAUUGGGAGGCAUGAGCCAACCCGACCCGACACUAUGCACGGGCUGGGCGCGGGCCAUGUCAAACGACCCACGACCUAACCUCGACUUGACCUGACGUUUGAACAGGUAUAUCAGAGAUCCAACAAUUCAUACCUCAGGGAAGGGGAAACUAACCUGGGCGUAGAUGACGUGAUGACGCGAGGGUGGCCGAUUGAGGCGGUCCGCAGGGAGGCGAAGCUGGAGCAAAGCGACGACGACGAUGUCGCCAUUUGCCCACCUCUCUCAAUCUAUCCCGUCUCGGCCUCGCAGCCACCAACUACUUCAAAGCCCUUGUGUCCGUCCUACUGCGGCUGUCGCGGUAGAUCUCGGGCGAACGGGGCGGGGGAAGAGGCGUGCGUUGAUGGGUGGCAGGGGGCAUCGCUAGUGGAGGUGGGUGCGGCGACGACUAUCAAGGGGAGGGAGGGGGUCACCGCGAGCAGGGCGGGGCGCAGCGGCCGUGCGUCCUCUGUCGAGGCGAAGGCUAAGGCAAGCAUUGCGCGGCUGGGGGAAGACGGGGGGGUCGGGGCGGGUGGAAGCGAGGGGCGCCGAGGGGAGGGGGUGCGCGUGUGUUGGAAUCGCGAGGCCUUGCAGGCGAGGAGGGGCCGUCGGGGCGGGGGCACAUAUAGCGGGACACGAGGCGUAAAAAUUUCGGUGGGGAGGCAUCAACGCGAUAGCGGGACGCGAGGCGGUGAGACAGGGACGACUCGCGGGGCGGGGGCAUGGUGGCGCUACUGUGGACGUACACACUACGUUCUUAUAGAGUAGUAGAGAUAAAGGUUAGUUUGGUAACCUUAUUUUUCUAAGGGAUUUUCAUUUUACGCAGAGAGAUUAGUUCAUUUUCUAUUGAGAAAAUAGAAAUUCCUUCAAAAAUAACAUUCCAAAACACCCCUCAGCCGGUUGUUGAAUCCGGUGCGUAUCUAUCAAGUUUACUUUCGAUUCAUUCAUUCACUUCACGAUUUUGAAGAUGGGGUUCCCUGUGCUGCUGACGUGCUGAGCUCCGUGAUGAAGCUGAUGAGGCGCUUGAAUUCCAACGCCGAUGCCCCGUCGUCGGCGACGUCACGCUUCACCUGCUCCGCCAGAGCAUGAGCCGACCUCCUGAUCUCUUCGGACUCCAUUGCUUCCCUCACCGUGCUCUCCACCACAACUCUGUCGCACACGUCCUUCAUGUCCAGCCCGUUCCUCCACACGGCGCCUACGAAGCGGCUGUUGAUCUGCUGGUCGGCGAAGAAGGGCCAGCACACCAUGGGCACGCCCUCGACGAUGCCCUCUAUCGUCGAGUUCCACCCGCUGUGCGUCAGAAAGCACCCCACGGCGCGGUGCCGCAGCACGUCUCGCUGCGGCACCCACGGCACGACGCACGCCCUGUCUUUCCCGACCGCGCCGAUGGCUUCCCGGAGCGCGGCGUCCUGGCUGGCCACGAGCAUAUCCGGGCGGAGCACCCAGAGGAACGGGUAGCCGGUGGCGACGAGCCCGUGCAGGAACUCGGUGAACUGCUCGUGGGAGAUGACGGCGAGGCUACCCAGGCUGAUGUACACCACGGCCCGCUCCGCCUGCUGGUUGUCGAGCCACGCCAUGCACCCGUCGUCGGGGCGCCACAGGCUCGAGGCCACCGCCGGCGCGGGGGACAUGGCGUGCAGAGGCCCGACGGCGAAUACGUCGCGCAUCUCCUGCGUGAGGUGCCCGAGGGAUGACCUCUCCAGGGACGUGGUCGUGUUGACGAUGAGAGCUCUGGCCUUGCAGCAGCUGUGCACGGUGGCCGCGACCACCGCCGCUACCAAGGGCUCCUCGUACGUGCUGGUGAGCUGGCGGAACUGGAUCGGGAGGUCUCGUCGACGCAGGAAACUCUCCAUCCCCGGGACGCCGCGGAUGGGCGCGUCGAGGUCGCCACCUUCGGGGAAGGGGAGCUCGCCGAGGGCGAUGAGCUUGGGCACGGACAGGUACGCCAGGACCGCGCACGCGCUCACCGUACGGAAGGAGAUCGCCGGGACUCCAAGCUCCUCUGCGACGUCGACCACGAACGGCAUUAUGCCGUCGGCAACGACGCACGUCACCGGCGGGAAGCCUCCGCCUCCCGCGCGCAGCGAGGCGAGCAGUGCGCGGUACGAGGCGCUGGCCUUGGUGCGCAGGGACUCCAUGAGCUCCGGGAGGCCGUCGACGGUGCGCGGGUCGUCGUCGGGGAGGCCGUCGGGCACGGAUAGGAAGCGGAGACGCGGCGAGGCGACCGUAGCCUCGGCGGCAGCAGUACCGAGGCGGCGGAGGUUGUGGUCGGUGUGCAGGAAGGUGACGUGGAGGCCCGCGCGGAGGAGCCCCGUGGAGAAGUGGAGGAAACUGUUGAGGUGGCCCUGCGCAGGGGCCGGGAACACCAGCACGUGCGCCGCCGCCGCCGCCGCCAUUGCCGCACGAUCCCAAUGCGCGGCUCGGCGGCGAUGGCGUCUAUUUAAGGGAAAGGGAUGUGGCCAUGCCGGUGUCGGGGUGUGGCCGUGUGGGAAGAGCUGGAGACUGCACUGCUGCAGAUAAGGUCAGACACGACGGGAGAGGAAUGGGAUGGAUGGAAAUUGGAAUGGAACCAGCCGUGUCGAAACGGACGCUGAUAGGAUGGGCGGCGGCGGCACAUGUGCCGCUCGAGCGAGACCAGUUUGGUCUUUGGUGACGCUGAAGGUCAGCCCGUUGCUGGCGGCUAGCACCGUAGCACGCAUAGGAAUAGGAAGCGAAUCCGGGACCGGGAUGCCUCGGCUGCUAUGCUCCAGGAGUCCAGGUAAACGCUGACCCGAAAUAGUUGGUGGAGGCGGCGUUGAGUGCGGAAGAAACUUUGGAUUUUGCAACCAAGGAGCAGCCAAUUGCAAACAAACAAACAAAAUUAUAUAUAUAUAUAUAUAUAUAUAUAUAUAUAUAUAUAUAUAUAUAUAUAUAUAUAUAUAUAUAUAUAUAUAUAUAUAUAUAUAACACAUACAUUAAAAAUUGUAUGAACUCAUUAAUUCUUUAAAACAACUACUAUUUUAGAUCAGAGUGAGUACAUGAUAAAAGAGAAAUUUUAUAAUGGUACCAUAGAAAUUUUAUAAUGAUACCAUCCAUACGGCUAAACGUGUAAAAUUUGGAGGUAUCUGUAUAACUGCCAAAUAAACGGAGACGAUGCCAAAAUAGAUGGGAGUACCAAACAUUGUGGAGCCAGAUUUACUUUUGUUUUUUCGUUAUUUUUUCAGAUAAAGACCAAAUCAUAAAUUUUGAUAUCCAGAUGAAAUGGGAUUUCCAUCUCGUUUGGCUGAUUUGGUGACCGAGGAUCACGGAGGGAUUGGAGGGAAUUGAAGGGGAAAUGACCCCUCCAAUCCCUCGUGAUCCCCUUGUUGUGUGUGAACGAGUUGCCGAUGCUAUCUAGACGGAUUCUAUAUUUAUUCUCUACACCUUUUCUUUACGAUCUUCUCUAAAAGAUUGCUAUCUAGACGGAUUCUAUAUUUAUUCUCUACACCUUUUCUUUACCAUCUUCUCUAAAAGAUUGAGUCUUUGAAGGCUCUUGUCUGAGUUGGCCUUUAGUCACCCUUUCUUCUCACCUUUGCUAAAAGGUCCUAGACAGUCAGUGUCGCCUCGCUGAUAAAAGCAUAGUCAAAAGACACAGUGAAAGAAGCCCGCUAACCCACUCUUCUUCCCCCCUAAAACCCAGAAGGUAAGUAGGGGCCUCGGCAUCUCUAUUUGCAAAGAGAGAUACCUAGACCAAGAAAUAUGACUUUUUAUGCAUCGGAAAACGAAUGAGAUCAGAAAAGCCAUCAUUGAGGCAAAAGGAAAAUGGAACUCGGAAUAUGAAUGAGAUCAGAAAGGCCAUCAUUGAGUCAAACGAUGCAAACAUUAAGUUGAAUCCUAAUGUCGUCCCUCUAUCGUUGUGCGCCUGCCCUCCCCUUGACUCCUCAUAGGAAAAUAGUUGCUAGCACAUGUCAGCGCUUUCUCCUCUCUACAUCAAGAUCUACUGAGGAGGGUGAUCAUGCUACUAGACACAACGAUGGUCGCCAUCCUCGGCUGCUUGGACCAAACCUUCCUUUCCACCAUUUUAAACUAGUUGCUUUUGUUCGAUUAAUCCUUGACGCCGGUGCACAGGCCCAUGAGGCUAAACGCCUCUCUGACCCACCCGCUCCCCACUGCCAGCGGGCACUAAUUCAUGCAUCGGUGGCUACAUGGUGGCGCAGAAACCACCGCAAAAGUGAUGCCGACCUCAACGCACAUGCAACGCCCUAGCCAAGACAUAUUUAGACAUCGGGUCAGAAUUGAUUCGGUUACAGAUCGGGUCAUAGCUUUUUUAGCAAACUCGUGUCUAGGUCAGAUCGAGUUGGGCCACGCCUCCAUGUUAAACGUGUUAGGUCGGGGAUAUUUUCAUGUCAGAUCAAGGUUUUUUGGCUUUGGAUUGGACUUUGGUUCAAAAAUCAUGGACCAUGGCUUUUAUACAUUUGUUGCAUUGUUCGGGUUGGGUUUUUUUAUAUGAGUCGGGUCAGGUUUUUUUGGACGGGUUGGACGGGCCAUGCUUGAUCAGGUCUAGUUAGGAUUUGGGGGCAACAAUGUUUGAUAGGCAGAGUAGGAAGGAAUUUGAUAGCCUCGUACCAAAAUCCGUUUGGGACCAAAUUCGAGAAGAAAAAACUAGGUCAGAUGAGGAGAGGCUUAAGGCUGGUUCUAACACUGGGUGCUAAGGCUAGGUCCAACGUGGGUCGGUACUGACCGUUGAGGUGGUGAACCAGGUGAUCGAUACCGAAAGAGACGAUCACAACGCUAGUCGGCCAGUCGAUUGGGCUACCGAUCAAUCGGUUCGAGUGAUACCACCUGUGUUGGAGCCCGUGUGGUUGGCUUGAGGUAUUGUGCCAGGUUGGCUCGACACUAAAAUAUUUUGGACUGUGUCGUGUCUAGGCCAUGUCUUUUGUUUCGUGCUUCGGGUCAACCCAUCAGCCCUGACCCAACUGUACAUCUCUAUUUCUCCCAUACAUCAUUAUUGGGAGAAUGUUUCUGCAUGUCCCAUUCUCUCACUCCUUAACCCAUACUCAUAUCCUUCUCAUUUGUAUCCUUAUCGAUCUUACAUGGAUGCUUCUCCUUCGUCCAAUGACGAUUCUACCAUCAAUGUUCCUUCUCUCACUGAAGUUCUUAUCAUCAACACUAUACCACCACCACCAUUCACUUACCAGUUACCAAUACCCUCUUCCAUACAUAUAUGAAAGUCCAUAUGGUGCUCCUCUAUAUAUGGAUUGUAUGGUGCUUCUCCUCUGUUUUCUCCUUCAUUUGGUGCUCGUCCUCUAUUUUAUUCUCUUGUAGUCUUGGCACACGAUAGUGCCCCAAAGCAAAGACAUUCAUGUCGCUUUGAACCGAUCUUCUUACUCCGACACUCCACAAUUCUAACAACGAAGAUAUUGGAUGAAGAUAGAGGAUAAAUGUUAAUAAGUACACACAUAUAUAUUCGAGGUUCCCACAUUUCUAGGUCCACAAUAGUUUUAAAGUUCAUAAUUUUUAGAUCCAUAUAUGGAUACCGCACACGCAGUGAACCCACUAAUGGCAAUGGUAAAAAGUAAUCUAGAGCCAAAUAUCUAACUCCUACAACUCCACCAUAAAAACUAGUCACCACCAUUGCUAAUAGUGAAGGGUUGGUGGUCGAUGAGCAACUGAAAGAUUAUCCUCUUCAACGACAUUUAAAACCGCUUGUAUAAGAUCCAGUCGAGUAGAGCAGAUGAUGUUAUGUUGUUUGAAACUACUAACUUGUAUUUUUAUAAUAAGCUAAAAAACUAAAAUCGAAUUUUUUAAAAAGAACUAAAAUAAAAAUAAAAAACGGCUCGCCUCCCGGAUAAGACGAUAACUCGAGCCGAAAAAAGCGAUCACACAGACAAAGGUACGCAAGGCAGCGCGCGCCUGCAGUGGCGUAGACAGUGGGUGGUCCGGGUGGGCCACAGCAUAUCCUAAGCCGGGCCACCGGAUCACCAGUCCACCAAGAUCCAUAUAAAAAAUACUGAUAUAUAUUAUAUUUGCAUUCUAAUAUAUACAUUUAUAGACUUAAAUGUUAAAUCUAUAGUGUUAUAUGCUAUUUUUAUCUUUAUAUUUUGAACUAUAUACUAAAUUGUUAUAUAUUAUAUUAAAUUAUUUAUAAAAAGUUCUAAUGGCAUACCUCACGAAGAAAUUCUAGCUACGCCACUGCGCGCCUGCGUCGUCGAACAGCCCAAGGCCACCGCAUUUGCACACCGUCAGGGAUGGGGGCAACCGUGCACCUCACCGUAACCGGUGCCCUCGGCGUGACGUCGCCGCCUCUCGCUCCGUCCCACUGCACCUGCGCCGGCGCCAAGAAGCAGAGCUGCUCGCUGCGUUCGCCGCGGCAGCAGAGGAGGCGCCUCCGCGUCGUCGAGAUGGGCGCGCCUUCCGGCGGGGAGCCUUCCGCCGGAGGAGGUGGAGGAGCCGUCCAUCGACUUCGCGUUCGUCAGCGUGAGUUCCUCUCGCGCUUCCCUUGUGUGUGUGUGUGUUUUUUUUUGAUGCGCCGAGCUGUCCGCGCGUUCGUGAUUGGUUGACGGCGGUUUAAUUGGUGCGCGCGCUCGUGAGUCGUGACGUUGCAGCCACGGCUGCUGCCGGACGGGACGCCGGACGUGCAUUACCGGACGGCGCGCGGCGGGCAGAAGCUCAGGGACGUCAUGCUCGACGGCUACAUCGACCUCUACGGGCCCUACGUGAGUCACACUGCAUGCGGCCGCCGCUGAUCUCGCUCUCGCUUAAUUUGCCGAUCACCGUGCCGCGGCUCCACUGCUCAUCGUCAGGCCUCAGGCGUCUUUCUGGAACUGAUUCGUUUUCGCUGCUGCUCUCUGCUGGUUGCCGCAGGAUAAAGUUCUUCUCAACUGCUCAGGGGGCGGUGUGUGCGGGACCUGCGUCGUCGAGGUGAACCCAAUGCAGCCAGUCACAACUCAUUCUCCUGAAGCCUGAUGCAGUGACAUUUCCUGUCGAAGAUAGGGCACAAGGAACUCUGCAGGAUAGGUUUCCUGAAGCCUGCCUGACAGUACAGUUCAUUUUGACACUUUGCCGCUUCGCUAAAUUUACAGGUGGUCGAAGGCAAGGAAAUGCUAUCCCCAAAAACCGAAGUGGAGAAGGAGUUGCUCAAAAGGGUUUGUAGUUUGCACACACGACUCCAUCUGUUCAUCAUCAGAACCGUUUUCUUUAUCAGAAGAAUAAGCUUGCAAACUUCCUAGUUUUUAAGUAAAAGUGCUAACCUCUUCGCGCCAAUUUUCAGAAACCCAAGACGUGGAGAUUGGCGUGCCAGGCAACGGUGGGCAAUGCAGAUUCAACCGGACAGGUAUGCACGAAUGCUUUCCAGUGUUUUCUUUAACGUACUGUAUUCCCAAACGAAAAAGGAAAUUGAACUGUCCGUUCUGAAUUUUCCGUCGAAAGUUGCUCUGAAUUUUUUUUACAGCAUUAUUCUUGAGUAUAUAUACUGCAACUGGAUAACGUUUUAGCCGUGCUGUUUCAUGUUUCUUUUCACAAGGGCAUAACGUUGAUAGCAUGCCUAUGGGAUUUGUUGUUUUGCGCAGAUGAUCAUUCAACAGUUGCCAGAGUGGAAGAUACAUGAGUGGGACAAGUAGAAGGGCAGAUGCCAUGGAAAAUGGGGAAAAUGAGAAGCAGUUGAUCAGUAGAAUAGCUGGUGCAGAUUGAUGAAGCUUUUCAUACUCAAGCAAAAUCUUGGGCAUGUUUUUCACCAUUUGUAGCACAACUGAAUGGAGCAUGGAUGAAUUAGCAUCGUCCUUUAAAAUGUUCUCUUAUAAUAAGAUCCUGUUUGGAAGCAACUCAAUUUUUAAGAAACUGACUUUUAUUUUUUUUUAGCUAGGAGUGGCCGGUUUCAUUGUUUUAAAAAACUGAAAAUCCAAUUUCUACAUUAUAAACGGAUAUGUUUGAAACCACCUCAGUUUCAAGAUUGGAUGUUUUCAAACAGGCCCUACAAAAAUAAAGGCGACUUGUGUGCGCGCGUCUUGCCGGAUCGGAUGUAGCAUUGUCUUAUUGGUGGAGCCCAACAUCAUCUAAUGGCAUCAAAUUAAUUAAACAACAUUCUACAUAUAAGAGUUAUAUAUUUUAGGUUUUUAUUGGUAUUCUUGUAUAAUGCGAUGCUUUUUUUAGGAGUGCGUUGGCAACGUCCUCCUGUUGCUCCAAGCCGUCCAUAGUUUCAUUUUCAUUGCACCGGACAUGCAUCCACAAGCAAAGCACGCAUGCAUCUAAAAAUGGCAGGUGCAUGCCUGCGCCCCUACGUAUAUAUUACUAUCACGUAGCUAGCUUGCUAUACCAAGGACAAAUCAAACCAUAGCAUCAAUCAUGUCUGGUCGUUCGUGGACAAUAAUGGCGCCUCUCCUGGCGUCGAUGCUGCUCGUCGGGCUCGCCGUGGGCUCCGAGGAGGAGGAGGACGGCGGCGGCAAAAAGAAGCCCCACGUCAACCACGGCAAGUUUAAGGCGGAGCCGUGGACGGACGGGCACGCGACGUACUACGGCGGGCGCGACGGGUUAACUGACACCACGGACGGCGGCGCGUGCGGCUACAAGGGCGAGCUGGGGAAAGACUACGGCACCCUGACGGCGGCCGUGGGCCCGUCGCUGUACACCAACGGCACCGGGUGCGGCGCGUGCUAUGAGCUCAAGGGCCCCAAGGGCACCGUGGUGGUGACGGCCACCAACGAGGCCCCGCCGCCGGUGAGCGGGCAGAAGGGCGAGCACUUCGACCUCACCAUACCGGCGUUCCUCAAGAUCGCCGAGGAGAAGGCCGGCAUCGUGCCCAUCACCUACCGCAAGUACGUCAACUAGCUACUCAAGGGCACGUACGGAGGUAUACAUCAUAUCGAUCUGGUAUGUAUAUAUAUACAACUCGAUCCACGCAUGCAAUAUGCAGGGUGGCGUGCGAGAGGAAAGGCGGCAUCCGGUACACGAUCACGGGGAACCAGCACUACAGCGAGGUGAAGGUGACCAACGUGGGCGGCGCCGGGGACGUGGUGGCGCUGUGGGUGAAGGGCAACAAGCGCGUCAAGUGGACGCCGAUGAAGCGCAGCUGGGGCCAGCUCUGGACCACGGAGGUCGACCUCACCGGCGAGUCGCUGACGUUCCGCGUCAUGACCGCCGACCACCGCAAGGCUACCUCCUGGCACGUCACGCCCCGCGACUGGCAGUUCGGCAAAACGUACCAGGCCACCAAGAACUUCUAGGGCCGGAUCGGGCCGGGGAGCUGAGCCGCGCCCUUCUUUAUAUGUAUAUGCAUGCAGCGGAUUAUAUUGGACUGUUUUGUACUGUGUACUACCUUCUUUAUUCCAUGAUAAACAUGUUCCAAUUUCAACACCAUUGGUUUGAGCGGUCAGCAGGCAGCAGCACAGCACAGAGCACAAAAGUUCUGAUGCGUCAGCUUCUACGAUUUGAAACAAUGAUAGCACAUGAUGUGUGUUUUGAAUUCGUAUCUUAAUCAAUGCGCCAAAUUGAUCUGCUGCAACAAUCGUUUCGACAGCAACAGGAAGGCGGGCUCAUUGCAAUUAUUUUGGGCUGGGCCUGGAGAAUAGGCAGGCCCAGCCAGGCGAAUGGAUCUCCUUUUUCUCGGCCAUUUCCAUUUCUAAUUCAAUCGGCGACGGGGGAGGCGCUGCAACGCCACAGCAGUACAGGCUUCCUCCGCCAUCGGCAAUGGACGACAGCGACCUCGACUCCGCAGCGCUCUGGGCCGCCAUCGACUCCGCCGCUGCCAAGGCCUCCUCCCGCGUCCGCUGCGCCGCCAGCGACGACGACCACCGCGGCGAGGUGCUGCAGCCGGCCCGCCCGUUCAAAAACCCGCGGCUCGUCUCCGCCUCUCACGCCACACCGCCUCCCCCCGCACCGCUGCCUCUGCCCUCGCCAUCGCCCCGGCUUCAUGCGUCUCCCUACGCCACGCCCGACGCAGCGGCAGCCAGGAACAGGCUCCAGGUCGUUGAGAGCCCCCCGCCCCAUGAGCUCUGGGGGCUUCCCAUGGCGAGCCCCAUCGCCGCCGCCUAUGACGGGGGCUUGCUCCCCUCCCUCUCCGUGGCCAACUUCAAAAACUACCAGGACGUAGCUCUCUCGGUGCGUCCCUCACCCCUCCCGCCACCCUCCCACUGUCCCACACACACCAUUGUAUUGCCCCGUCAACUUGUACUUGUUCUAUCGUCUCGUUACACUUUGCAAGCCGAUAGAGUGUAAUUAGUGAUUAAGUUGCUGAUAGAGUUACUACUAGCAAUUUGUAAUUAUCAAGAUGGGAACCCUUAACUGGCAUUGGAGAAACAACUACAGUCACGCUCGGGUUGUCUCUGUUUUGGGCUACUGACAUAGAAAAUGAUAAUCUGUAGAAAUUCACGCAAUGACGGUAGUUAAGCUUGAGUCAUGUUUGUCUUGCCCUGCAAAACAUAGAUAAUGAUGCUCUGCAGCCUGCGAAACCAGAUCCUCUGGGUCCAUGAUCAAACAGAACUAAGUGGACUCAGUUGCCUACCAUAAGUCCAUAACUAAUAGUGGCCCUCCCAGAGGGGAUUGUUGUGCCUUGAUAGAUCACUCAAGGAAAUGAAUGAACUUCACUUAUAUUCACUAUGCUUAUAUGAUGGGGGAUCAGAGUUUAUGCCUCAUGUAUAUCUGCUUCUUCUUAGGUCAUGUAUCGGUUAGUUGAUGAUAUUAUUAGGCACCAUUAAUAUCUGGCUGUUUGUGUAUUUGGUUUUUUGAUCACCUGUUAAAAGGAACAUAUUGACAAACUUAUGUUCCAUGUGAUAACUUUGUAAAGUUCAGUAGUAUUUAACUUUGAUUUGCUUUGCUGCACUUUCUCAAACUAAACAAAUGUGUGUAGUGUGCUCUCAUUGUCUCAUUUUAUGUGUUCAGUAUAUAAUCUUAUGUAAUCUCGAUAGAAAAUUGUCACGUUCGAUGCCAUGGUACACAUAUGCUUUUGAUGCAGAAAAAGAUAUCAAAGCUUGAUCUUCAGUGGAUCUUUCGACUUUAGCUGCUUCGCCUUCUCAAACUCUAUUAUGAGUUUUGACAUAUUUUCCUUGACUGGUUUCAGAUUUUGGAGAGAAGUGACUACACCACUAUCAGUGGGAACCCGUACAUAAAGAAGUCAGGUGCUCACUUGACAUUGUGUCACUGUGAGUUGUUGAUAGAAUCUUCAUGGAGCUCACUUCUAUCGUCCUUUUCAGGGUGGAGAAAAAUAUCUUGCUUCUUCAAUGUCUCGUUUGAAAUCAAGGAUCACUCCAUUGAGUUUGAUGAAAACCGCAAUGUCAACCGUGCUGAAUUUCUUGUUCGAGCGUCAAUGACGUAUGCUGUUUUCUAUGCAUUUACGAGUCAUUUUUCUGUCACUUUCACCUGCUAUUUUACUUCUAUUCAUGUUUUUUUAUCAGGCAUUAUUAACUCUAUUUUUUAACUUUUUUAUUUAAAGAGGUGGGAGAUUCUCAGACGGUUGGGGCUCCUGCGAUCGACGAGAGAAAAAAUUCAACAAACCUAACCAUGACAUUCCCAGCACAGCUGAAACCAGAGCUAAGAACAAGGCUUGCCAGGUAAGGAAGACCUCAACACUUAUCCAAACCAUUUAUCUUGUUUACAUGAUGCACCUAUAGUUUAUGCUGUAAUCUGAAAAGAAGUCAAAUGCAUAGUUCAUGUUUUAUUUCAUAACUCAAGUAACAUGUGAAGGUUAAAUCGUUCUUACAAUCUUACUGUAAAUUUUAGGAUCUUCUUGGAAUUGGACGUCCAGGAUGAGAAGUGGAGGUCACUGGACCCCAAAGGUGGAGUCCAUGAGGUGUUUACCUUUAGAUCAGCUACUCAUCACCAGAUCCUGAAGUGGAGUCCACAAAUUUUGGUUAUAGUCAAGGUUGUCUGUGUGGCUGUUAGCUCAGUGCAAGAAUAUACUGGUACGUAGGUUUCUUAACAUUUGAAGCAAAUGAGAAGGGCGUAGUAAUGUUUUCUGAACUCUGAAGGUUUAGCAUUUAGGGUAUUUUAGCUAAUGCUAAUUCGGUGAAAGAGUGUAACACCCUUCUUGCAGAUAUGAAGUUAGUAGAAGGGCGCAAUGUUCUGCUCCUCUUUGUUAGUGAAAAGCCUAUCAGAUCGGGGGGAGGGGGGAUGUGUGCUCGGAUCACCUGUGGCACUGAACUUUUUUUGUUGUGGUGUGGACAUUGGCUGCCCCUCUAAAAUGGAAGUUUGUUUGCGCAUCGAGAUGCGUCAGCUGAUGAAAGAACCAAAUACAAGGAGCAGGAGCGAUCUUCCUUUUUCUCAGAUGGAAACUGCAAACGGGAAACAGUGUGGUGUAGGAAGAACUCGAACGAACUCAAGAACUCUAGCAAAUGUGAUAUGAGUGAAUUAUUAUCACAAAAUCAAGGCGUCUGGAAAUAUGUCCGGAGCAAUAGGCGAGCGAGCCAGCGGGACGCAAGGUACCAGCAAUACUCUCAGCAAUACGCUCGGUGAUCAUCUGUCAUCUGGGACAUGUAUGUAUAUGAGUUUUUUUUUUUAUUGAUCAAAGAAUUACUUUUUUUAAGAAAAUUAUCAAGUGAUUACUUUGUCGUCUGGACUGAUACGGGCACGCUUGUCGCACCGGGUAGUACGGUGGUUCUUACCACGUUUCUCGACUAUCUCCAGCACUCCCUAUUACACUCUAUUUUAAUUUUAUUCUACAAACAACAGCACUUUACACGGCUUCUGGAGAUGGCCUCAGCAAAGGUGUCCUACGUCCAGAGUCCAGACCGCAGUACCAACUGGAGUAGGCCAGCUGCCAGCAGCACUGCACAGCUACCUACGCCGAGUCGCGUUCAGGCAAUUGCGUAUUUAGACGGAAGGAAUACAACCAAUAGUGUCGCGUUCAGGCAAUCAGGGGGUACCAUCCUCCUCCUGAGCCUUGAACAGAACAGUAGGAUGGAGAAGAGUAGCAGGCCAGUAGUCUGUGCUACAUGUACAGCUGCAGCAGCAGGCCAGCAGCCUGUGCAUUUAUUUUCAUAAGCAUUUACGUCGAGUAGCAUUUCGUAUGUCCCAUGGCCAUGCUCAGUCAAACUUUGUUCGACAAAUGGAGGCAACAACACGGUAGCAACUCUACAUUAGCAUGUUAAAGCGGUCCAUUUUCUUUCUCUUCCCCAGAUAAAUCGCAAAAAACACAACAGAUUCGACUUUGCUCCGCCUACAUUUUUUAAGGAAAAAAAACAACUUACACUGUCACAUACUACAGUAGAUGGCGAUGAUCUUGCAUACGGUUCACAUCAUCAAUUGAUGUCCGGUAUAGUAUGAUUCUAUAUGCGAGAAUAAAUUAGUUUUACUCUACAUAAGAGACACAUGCAGCCGAAAGAAACUGCAUAUUAAUGACCGAACAUCGGUGCUGCCUUCCUUUUUUUUUUCUUUCAGCAUCGCCUCAUACAGUGUGCGAAUCGAUGCCUGGUCCGGCGACAAGAAGGCUCCGUUCUGGUGGGUGGUCUCCUAGAGCAAAUACUCGAGACUAGAGAUUAACAAAACAAACUUCCUAUCUGGAACGAAGUAUAUCCAUCAAAAGGGUUUGAAUCGUGGGGACCCCAGAGUAAACAACUGCUGGAAGAAGCCUGUUAUUUGUACUGCUGAGAGAACAGCAGGUAUCCACCGAUCCUGCUGUUUUCUAAACCUUCGCGUGAAAUGUGGACGUACCACGGCAGUUCAUCGCACAGGCUUCUUUGGGCUGGGACUGGGAGUUGCCGGCAGCAGAGCUGUGAAUUUGAAGUUCCCCGAGAACAUAGAAUCUUUGCCUGUAGUAGUGUAGUUAGAACGUACAGGGCAAGAAGUAUCUACUGAGUUUAACUUAUUCAAAAAGAAAACGACAAAUGCUUUAAGAGCCGCAGAAAUUUAACCAGUCAAUGAUAGGCAAGUUGCCUCCCUUCGUGUGUAUCUUGCCAAUGCCUGAAAAAUAAUAGAACAAGUAGCUUUAGGCUGUGAAAGCUGAAAAAUAACAGAACAUACAGCAGGGGCAGUUGUCUCCGUCAGGAAAACGAGCUUGCCUGGACAGCAGGGGCAGCAGCCACAUCCAUAGCCUCUGAACCUUCCUCAGCAUAAAUAUUUCUAGCAUUCAAUACAUGUACCCAUCACACACAAUGCCAGAAACUUCUAUCGUGAAAGAAAGACAGCAAUACAUCUAUCACGUUCUCCAUCCGUUUCAAAUCAGUGUACUUUAGCUUUGGCCCAAGUCAAAAUAUAGUGCACAGAGCUGCAGCUUGAGAUGGCUAGGGAGCUCCUACAUCAAUUGAAGGUGGUGCAGGACAAUCGUUCCUUAUCUCCUGGUGAACUGUGGCUCCGAAACCUGCUCAAGAAGCACUCUCUUGCCAUGUCCUCUCUCUCUCUCUCUCUCUCUCUCUCUCUCUCUCUCGUACCAUGGCAAGGCUGAAAUCGCGGAUUGGGUGGAUCAAAGAAGGUGAUGCCAAUACCUCUCUUUUUCAUGCACAAACAAGGUUCAGGAAGAAGAAUUUCAUUGCAGCGGUACACUCAGAGGAUGGGCAAAUCUGGACUGCCCAUGAAGGCAAGGCAGCAGCCUUCUUUGAUUUUUAUCAAGGGCUCCUUGGAACUGAAUAAGGGAUGUUACUGUUGAUCUGGAUGCUCUGUGGAUGCCAUCUUAUGACCUUGAUACCCUUGAUGCGCCUGUCUCGGAGGAGGAAGUUUGGGAUACAAUUAAGUCCCUUCCUUCGGACGAAUCCCCAAGUCCUGACGGGUUCACUGGCAGAUUUUACAAAAGUCGGUGAUCAAGGCUGAUUUCAUGGCGGCAGUCUACUGCAUUUGGCUAGAAAUUUCAGAAACUUGGGUCCGCUGAAUUCAGCUUUUAUUACACUUCUGCCCAAGGUUGAGGGAGCCACUAGUGUGAGAGAUUUCCGCCCAAUCAGUCUGGUUCAUAGUUUAGCGAAGUUGGUGACUAAAUUGUUGGCUAACAGGUUAGCAGACAGGCUGCAAAAUAUGGUUUCUCCCAAUCAAACUGCUUUUAUUAAGAAACGAUUUAUUCUUUUUUUUCUCGAACACGCAGAAGAGCUGCGCAUCAUUAUAUAUUAGAAGGAAGGAUAGCUAUACUAAUUCGGUAUACUCAAAAUACACCUUUGGUACAAAAUUGACAAUCUCACAAGGAUGAAAUAUCAGUAAUUUUCUAUUUACUGGUGGAUCCCAUCUUUUACGGAAUCAAUUCCUUUUUUGAAUAAAAAUUUUGGGAGCUCAGCAUGUCUGGAAGCACGGGAGAACGUUCUUUUGCUGAUAUUAUUACCAGUAUUCGAUACUGGGUUAUUCAUAGCAUUACUAUACCUUCCCUAUUCAUUGCGGGUUGGUUAUUUGUCAGUACGGGUUUAGCUUAUGACGUGUUUGGAAGUCCUCGACCAAACGAGUAUUUCACGGAAAGCCGACAAGGAAUUCCAUUAAUAACCGACCGUUUUGAUUCUUUAGAACAACUAGAUGAAUUUAGUAGAUCCUUUUAGGAGGCCCCCAAUGACCAUAGAUCGAACCUAUCCUAUUUUUACAGUGCGAUGGCUGGCUGUUCACGGAUUAGCUGUACCCACGGUUUUUUUCUUGGGAUCAAUAUCAGCAAUGCAGUUCAUCCAACGAUAAACCAAAUUCCAACUAUAGAACUAUGACACAAUCAAACCCGAAUGAACAAAAUGUUGAAUUGAAUCGUACCAGUCUAUACUGGGGUUUAUUACUCAUUUUUGUACUUGCUGUUUUAUUUUCCAAUUACUUCUUCAAUUGAGAGAAAGAAAGAGAGUAGUAAGAAUUCUCUUAUCCCAUUUGGAAGGAUACCAUCUUUAUAACUAUCCAUGACUGUUUUUGUCUCUAGCAUGACCACUUGAGAAAAUGUGGAGGAAAGUAGGGGAAAUGGCCGAUACUACUGGAAGAAUUCCUCUUUGGCUGAUAGGUACUGUAACUGGUAUUCUUGUGAUUGGUUUAAUAGGUGUUUUCUUUUACGGUUCGUAUUCUGGAUUGGGUUCAUCUCUAUAGUAAUCGGAGGAUCCAGAUUGUAAACAUGAAAAAGUAGGAACUUAGCGGGUCCUUACUCCCCUUUAUCUGAUUAGAGCGGAAAGGGCCCGCGGAAUUCUUAUUGUUAUAACGCGGUUUUGUUCCAUAAUCUAGAAAUUGGUUACCUAUUUCUAUUUGUAAAAAUAACAAAGAGAAAACCUUUGCUCUGAUGGUUGGAAUCCCUCCAUUUAUUCUUUUGUUUGUUAAUGAUGUUAGUGAGUGAAGCAAUCCAUCGGUCGAUUUAAAGCCCCCGCCUUUCGCCCAUAAAAUGGAUUCACUCUUAUGAAGCAACAAGAAAGAGGGGAGAGGAUCCAGUAUUUUAUUCCAUGAAGGAAGUAUCCUGCAAAUCGUUGAUUUAGUUUAGAGUAAUAAACUAAUAAAACCUUAAUCAAAACUACUCAACUAGCCUAAAAAUCAAAACCACCCUUCCAUGGGAGGGUAUAGAUUUUUUUUUACAAAAUUUCUGUAAGUUCAAAGUUGAACUUAAUUCAAAAAGUAAAGCAAUUCUAUUUGCUCACAAGAAAUGUGUCCCCCGCCAUACCUUCUUUCCCUCUGUUUGUCCACUACCGCGCCCGAACCUAAGCAAAGGAAGUCCAAAAGACAGACCCGAAUAAAGAAUAAAUAGUAAUCUUUGACAAAACAAAUAAGAAGAAAAAUGAUUCUUACUUCGAUACAAGAAGAAUCGACACAAGAAAAAGGCAAAAAAGCCUUUUUCUUGUGCCCAAUAGAGGAUUAAGAAGACCCACAAUUCCUCCUAAAAGGACUUGUUCCUUUUAUUGUUCUCGUCUUUGCCUUGGAUCCUCUUCUUUUGCAUGAGAUAGAAAUAAGGAAUUCCAGAAAUCGAGGCUUUUUUCUCACUUGAUGGUAAGAAAUCCCAGGAUCUAGAAAUUCAUUUCGUACAAUUGAACCUUUUCAAACUGUUUCUUUUUGAGAACCAAAAAAACUUGUGCCAAAAUAACAGAUGCGAAGAAAAACAAAAGGCCUUGGACGCGCAAUGGAUCCUGAAGCACUAUUUCUGCAUCCCCCUGACCAAACCCUCCUACAUUAGGAUUGCUUGUUAAUGGUUGAUCAAGCUUGAUUGAUUCCCCCUCUGAAACAAGAAGUUCUGGCCCGGGAGGUAUAAUAUCAAUCACUUGGCGUCCAUCCGAUGCAUCCACUAUGGAUAUUUCAUAUCCCCCCUUUUCUUUACGUAGUAUUUUUUUUACUAUACCUGUUGACGUAGCAUUAUAGACCGUAUUGUUACUCUUGCUACCGUCAGGAUAGAUCUGUCCCCUUCCUCGGUUUCCCCCUACAUAUAUGGGAUAUUUUAAGAAAUGAACGUCUUUUUUUGUAGCGGGAUCGGGGGAAAGAAUGGGAAAGACAAUUUCACUAUAUUUCUUACCGGGAACAGGGCCUAUCACAAGAAUAUUUUUUUUAUUGGGACGAUAACUCUGAAAAGAGAGAUUUCCUAUCUUUUCUUUCAACUCAGGAGAAAUACGGUCGGGCGGCGCUAAUUCGAAUCCCUCGGGCAAAAUAAGAACAGCACCCACAUUCAACCCUCCCUUUUUACCAUUAGCAAGAACUUGUUUCAGCUGCAUAUCAUAAGGAAUUCGAAGAACUGCUUCAAAUACAGUAUCAGGAAGCACUGCUUGGGGAACUUCAAUAUCCACAGGCUUAUUAGCUAAAUGGCAAUUGGCACAUACAAUUCGUCCAGUUGCUUCCCGCGGGUUUUCAUAACCCUGCUGCGCAAAAAUGGGAUAUGCGUUUGAAAUAGAUGUGCGAGUUAUUACGUAUAUCAUGAUCGAUACAGAAAUCGAUCGAAUCAUCUGUUCCUUUAACCAAGAAAAAGUUUUUCUAUUUUCCAUGUCCAAUCGCGGAUCCCGGAAUUUCUACAAUAAAUUAGAUAGGUAGCUAAGCUAAUCUAGUUCCCUAUACACGAGUCUGUUGUCAUUCUACUGCAAUAGUUGUACUAGAAUGAUGAAUACCUUGAGCAGGUAGAAAUAGAAAGAAUUUUGUUAAAAAGGAAAAGGGCUUUCUUUCCAUUUCUAAAGGAAGAAAAGAAAUAUGCUAAUUUGAUUAAUAUUAGGAAAUGAAAUGAGUGAGUUUAUGCUUCACUAAUUGAAUGAUAAAUGACUACAAGUGAAGGAGAUAGACGGUUUAAACAAAAAAAGACCCAAAAUUUCAAACACGUGUCUAGAAUCACAGGAAAACUACAAACAAAAAUAGUGAAAAUUAGCUCGUUAGGAGCCCAUCCAAGAUUGUUGUAGACCCAACGAAUUAGUAGUUCCCAACCGCGGGUAGAGUGAAAUCCAACAAAAAAAUCAGUAACUAAAAGAAUAAAAAAAGCUUUUAUUGAAUCAUUUAAGUUAUAGAAAAAUUCCUGAACCCAAGAAUUCAAAAUGACAAGUUCUUCUUUACCCAGAAAAAAAGAACCACUUAGAAUAGCCAAACAGAUUAUAUUUGUUGAGAAAUGCAAAAUGAUAUGGAGAUGAUCCUCAUUAUCUAUUUUGGCCAAUUGUAUUAUUUCCUUGUGUAUUCCUAUAGGAAGUUUUUGUACAUGUGUCUUCGGUUUCUCUUUUAUCAUUUCGUCCAAGAGAAAAAGUUCCUCUAAUUCUAUGAAUCCUUCUAGAAUCCUUUUCUCUUGAAUAUCAGUUAAGAAAGUUUCGGAUUGCCUGGUAUUCCACCAAUUCUUAAUCCAAAGUUCCAGACAUUUGUUAAAAGAGAAAGAGACUCCCCAGGGCAAAAGUACGAUAAAUACAAGAUAUAAGAAAGAAGGCAAUGCUUUCUUUUUUUUCAUUUUUGAUCUGUAAGCUGAAUAUAUAUGAUAUUUCUUUUCUUUGAAGCAAAAAUUCUAUAACAAGGUUUGAGACCUUGUGUUUGUAUCUAUUUCUCUUUUUGUAUACUAGUGGAAUUUCAUUGUAUUGGGUUCUUUCUUAGAUCUAAAUGGAGUGGAAUAGAGAAAUAAAAAAAGGCCUUUCGUAUAAAAAUGGAAGAAUAGUAUGCCAUAUAUCUCACUUGGACAAAACAAAUUCGAAGCAAUUUUCUCUUAUCCUCGUUCCUUCCUUCCUUUACUUUAGAUAAAUACUCGAAAAUCCCCUUACAAUUGCAAAAAAUUGCAAUUGGUACUCAAAAUACUUCAAUUGGUACACGCAAGAAAUAGGCCAAUUCGGCAGCUUUUUGUUCAAUUUCUCGUGGAGUAAAAAACUUCUCAUCAGUACGAGUCAAGGGAAUGACCCCCUGGCCCCGGAUUUCCAUAUAAAGGAUACGACGAGGAUAAAGACCCUCUUUAACCUGAAUUCUAAUUGAUUGGAUAUCCCGCACAAGGAAUUGAAGGAAGAUGCGACGUUUUAUUCCAGGGAAUCCCCAACGAAAAAUGCACACUAUUCCCUCUUUUCUAUCGAAUCGGUCAUAACCACUGCCUACAUUCCAUAAAAUAGUGCACCACAAAUAGGAGCUAAUGAAUAGGCCCGCGAUUCCGUAGAAAGACAUCACGACCCCCUGUGGAAAAAAAAGAAUUUGUUGAGAUGGAAGUACAGAUAUCAUAUUCUUACCAAGAUAACUGGAAGCCCCAACCGCUAAGAAUCCUAAUGAACCUAGAAAAAGAAUACAGGCCCAGAAAAAAUUACCUCUUUUUCGAGAACCUUUUAGAAGUUCUAUCCAUAUGUGUUCUGAUCGCCAAUUCAUAUUAGAUAUACUAAAUCCAGUAGCGGUCAAUUGAAAUUGAGAGAAUAAGCUAAAUGAUUUUUACUUUACUUUUUUUGAUUCUGAAAUAGCCUUCAGUAGCUAGUACUCCUGUGAAAUAAUUGGUUAGAUACAUUGACUUUCUAUUCAAAAAAAAUUAGUGGAUCCACUUAAAAAAAAACUCGCUAUAGUCGGCUACGCAUAUGCAUGCAUUUAUGCUCGUAGCUUAUAUCUGCAUCCAUAGACGUUUUUCAUUUGUGUGUAGAAAGAGCUACAUACCCUAUCAUAUUAUAGUACUUACACAAAAAAAUAUCUGUAUUAUGAUCCUGGAAAUACAUUGAGAAAAUUUGGCCCCGUCGUUUCUAGACAAUCUUAUUUUUCUGCACAUAAAGAAAUAAGGAAGUCAUUGCAAUUGCCGGAAAUACUAAGCCUACUAAAGGUACGAAAAUAGAGGGUAAGUUAAAAUCUGUCAUAGAAUAUGUGUCUCAAUUCAAAUUUACUAUUUCUAUCUAUUCGAAAUAUAUCUUAAGAUUCUUAUGAUAUAAUUAAGUAUAUCUAUUAUAAGGAAUAUUGACUAUUGUAUUUUUUAGUUUACAAAAUAAAGAUUUUUUAUAGAUAUAGAAUAAAAAAGUAUUCUAUAAAAUAAAUGAAUGGAAUUGAUAAUAAGAAAAUUGCAAAAAAGGGGAACUCAAAAGGGGAACUCAUUAAAAUAAAAUAUUUUAUUUUUCUUUUCCCAUUCUCAUCGCCUUUCUAUCCUUCUAAUCGAACUUGAAAUUGGAUUCAAAAGAAAGCUAUUGUGAAAAUAAAAGAAAUACCUCUUUCAGAAUACCCUUUAAUUUAAAAAGUAGAAGUGGAAUAGAAUACCCAGUUGAAGGGUAAUGAUCAUACGUCUGUAAUGCAUUGUAUGUCCCAGAAUAGGUCCCAUUCUUCUACCCUUUCCGGGUAGUCGAUGGCUAUUCACAGCUACUACCUUAACACCAAAGAAGAGUUCGACCCAAUGCUUUAUUUCUGUCUUAGUGAAUCCCGAUUCGACAUUAAAAGUAUAUUGAUUCUUUCCCAAUAAACGAAGACUCUUUUCUGUAAAUACUGCGUAUUUGAUUCCAUUAUCGUACGAUAAUACUAUAUUUUGAUUUAUAUUUGUUUUUUUUUUUAGAAAAGAUUGAGCCGAAUUGAAUUGCAAUCAAUUAGAGGAAUAAAGAAGAAUUACUGCAUUUCUUAACUUAUUUUUUCUCUUUCUAUUUUGCUUUUUUUUAUUUUAUAUGGUAUCCAUCGCUUUGAAACCAUCAAAUUUGAUCUCCUUCCAUAUUUCACAAGCUGCGGCUAGUUCAGCACUCCAUUUGCAAGCUGCUUUGAUAAUUUCAUUACCUUCACGAGCAAGAUCGCGCCCUUCGUUACGAGCUUGUACACAGGCUUCUAAAGCCACACGAUUAGCUGCUGCACCAGGUGCAUUUCCCCAAGGAUGUCCUAAAGUUCCUCCACCAAAUUGUAAUACGGAAUCAUCUCCAAAGAUUUCGGUCAGAGCUGGCAUAUGCCAAACAUGAAUACCCCCAGAAGCCACCGGUAUAACACCUGGCAUGGAUACCCAGUCCUGAGUGAAAAAGAUACCGCGAGAACGAUCUUUUUCAAUAAAAUCAUCGCGCAAUAAAUCAACAAAACCUAAAGUUAUUUCGCGUUCCCCUUCUAACUUACCUACUACUGUACCGGAGUGGAUAUGAUCUCCCCCCGACAUACGCAAUGCUUUAGCUAAUACACGGAAAUGCAUACCAUGAUUUUUCUGUCUAUCAAUAACUGCAUGCAUUGCUCGGUGAAUGUGAAGAAGUAGGCCGUUGUCGCGGCAAUAAUGAGACAAAGUAGUAUUUGCGGUGAAUCCUCCUGUUAAGUAGUCAUGCAUUACAAUAGGAACCCCUAAUUCCCUUGCAAAUACAGCUCUCUUAAUCAUUUCUUCGCAUGUACCUGCAGUCGCAUUCAAGUAAUGCCCCUUGAUUUCACCAGUUUCGGCUUGUGCUUUAUAAAUUGCUUCGGCACAAAAGACAAAACGGUCUCUCCAGCGCAUAAAUGGUUGUGAGUUUACGUUUUCAUCAUCUUUGGUAAAAUCAAGUCCACCGCGUAGACACUCAUAACACGCUCUACCGUAAUUUUUUGCGGAUAAUCCCAAUUUUGGUUUAAUAGUACAUCCCAAUAAAGGACGACCGUACUUGUUCAACUUAUCCCUUUCAACUUGGAUACCGUGAGGCGGACCUUGGAAAGUUUUUGAAUAAGCAGGGGGAAUUCGUAGAUCCUCCAAACGUAGAGCGCGUAAGGCUUUGAAACCAAAUACGUUACCCACAAUGGAAGUAAACAUGUUAGUAACAGAACCCUCUUCAAAUAGGUCUAAUGGAUAAGCUACAUAACAGAUAUAUUGAUCUGGGUCCCCAGGAACGGGCUCGAUGUGAUAGCAUCGUCCUUUGUAACGAUCAAGACUGGUAAGUCCAUCAGUCCAAACAGUUGUCCAUGUACCAGUAGAAGAUUCCGCAGCUACUGCAGCUCCUGCUUCUUCAGGCGGAACCCCGAGCUGAGGAGUUACUCGGAAUGCUGCCAAGAUAUCAGUAUCCUUGGUUUCGUACUCCGGGGUGUAGUAAGUCAAUUUAUAAUCCUUAACACCAGCUUUAAAUCCAACACUUGCUUUAGUUUCUGUUUGUGGUGACAUAAGUCCCUCCCUACAACUCAUGAAUUAAGAAUUCUCACAACGACAGGGUCUACUCGAUAUGGAUUAGGCGUAAAUGAAACCUUUGCAAAAAUCUAAAAAAAAAGAUAUUUAAUUAAUAUCAACUCAUUAAAUAAAAAAAGGAGUAUGCUUAAGUUAAUGAAUAUGUUUCAUUCAUAUAUAAUGUGUACACCCUGUGUACGUUCUAUCCUAUAGGAAUUUUACUAUAGGAAUUCGAUAGGAAGGAAUUCGAUAGGAAUUGAGUUGUUGUUAUGGUAAGUUAACACGGUUCGUUAUUAAACCGUGGAUUUGAUUCACCAAAUCCAUCAUUAUUGUAUACUCUUUGAUAGAUAUAGCGCAACCCAAACCCUAAUCUUUAUUUUACAAUUUUUAAAGUUCUUCCCCUUUGAUAUUUUGAAUCUAAAUACCUAAAUACUAAGAAAAUUCUCUGUUGACAGCAAUCUAUGCUUCACAGUAGUAUAUAUUUUGUAUAUCGAAGUCCUAGAUAGGAAAGUAGAGUAGGCACAGAUCCUUCACAAAAGGCGAAAUUUAUAUGAAAAAAUGGAUUGAACUUUCCAACGGAUUCAUUCCAUAAGUAAACGAUUGAAUGGGAUUCGCUUGGGCAACGAAAUCAAGUGCGAGUCCCCUUUUCUUUUUAUUGAAUUAACUAAUUCAUUUCCUUUUGACUUUUGGAUUUUUGGAUAUUUUUUUUGAUUUGGCAUUAUUCAACAAGAAAAAAAAUUUCGACAAAUUCCUUUUUUUUUGAAAAUUAUGUGAUAAUUAUGAGAACCAAUCCUACUACUUCGCGUCCCGGGAUUUCCACAAUUGAAGAAAAAAGCGUAGGGCGUAUUGAUCAAAUUAUUGGACCCGUGCUGGAUAUCACUUUUCCCCCGGGCAAGUUGCCUUAUAUUUAUAAUGCUUUGAUAGUCAAGAGUCGAGACACUGCCGAUAAGCAAAUUAAUGUGACUUGUGAGGUACAACAAUUAUUAGGAAAUAAUCGAGUUAGAGCUGUGGCUAUGAGUGCUACAGAGGGGUUGAUGAGAGGAAUGGAAGUGAUUGACACGGGAACUCCUCUCAGUGUUCCAGUCGGUGGAGCUACUCUCGGACGAAUUUUUAACGUUCUUGGGGAGCCUAUUGACAAUUUGGGUCCUGUGGAUACUAGUGCAACAUUUCCUAUUCAUAGAUCUGCGCCUGCCUUUAUCGAGUUAGAUACGAAAUUAUCUAUCUUUGAAACAGGUAUUAAGGUGGUCGAUCUUUUAGCUCCCUAUCGACGUGGAGGAAAAAUCGGACUGUUUGGGGGGGCAGGAGUAGGUAAAACAGUACUCAUCAUGGAAUUAAUCAAUAACAUUGCUAAAGCUCAUGGAGGCGUAUCCGUAUUUGGCGGAGUAGGGGAACGGACUCGUGAAGGAAAUGAUCUUUAUAUGGAAAUGAAGGAAUCCGGAGUAAUUAAUGAAAAAAAUAUUGAGGAAUCAAAGGUAGCUCUAGUCUAUGGCCAAAUGAAUGAACCGCCGGGAGCUCGUAUGAGAGUUGGUUUAACUGCCCUAACUAUGGCAGAAUAUUUCCGAGAUGUUAAUAAGCAAGACGUGCUUUUAUUCAUCGAUAAUAUCUUUCGUUUUGUUCAAGCAGGAUCGGAAGUAUCCGCCUUAUUAGGCAGAAUGCCUUCCGCAGUGGGUUAUCAACCUACCCUUAGUACAGAAAUGGGUUCUUUGCAAGAAAGAAUUACUUCUACCAAAAAGGGAUCUAUAACUUCGAUCCAAGCAGUUUAUGUACCUGCAGACGAUUUGACCGACCCUGCUCCUGCCACAACAUUUGCACAUUUGGACGCUACUACCGUACUUUCCAGAGGAUUAGCUUCCAAGGGUAUUUAUCCCGCAGUGGAUCCUUUAGAUUCAACCUCAACUAUGUUACAGCCUCGGAUUGUUGGCAACGAACAUUAUGAAACUGCGCAAAGAGUUAAGGAAACUUUACAACGUUACAAAGAACUUCAGGACAUUAUCGCAAUUCUUGGAUUGGAUGAAUUAUCGGAGGAGGAUCGUUUAACUGUAGCAAGAGCACGAAAAAUCGAGCGGUUCUUAUCACAACCGUUCUUUGUGGCAGAAGUUUUUACCGGUUCUCCAGGAAAGUAUGUUGGUCUUGCAGAAACAAUUAGGGGAUUUCAACUAAUCCUUUCCGGAGAAUUAGACGGCCUACCCGAACAGGCUUUUUAUUUAGUGGGGAACAUCGAUGAAGCUAGCACGAAAGCUAUAAACUUAGAAGAGGAGAGCAAAUUGAAGAAAUGAAAUUAAAUCUUUAUGUACUGACUCCUAAACGAAUUAUUUGGGAUUGUGAAGUGAAAGAAAUCAUUUUAUCUACUAAUAGUGGCCAAAUUGGUGUAUUACCAAACCACGCCCCCAUUAACACAGCUGUAGAUAUGGGUCCUUUGAGAAUACGCCUCCUGAACGACCAAUGGUUAACGGCGGUUCUGUGGAGUGGUUUUGCAAGAAUAGUUAAUAAUGAGAUCAUCAUUUUAGGAAAUGAGAGAGACAAAAGAGAGGUCUUACAAGAAGGGGUAAACCCCUGCUAUGCAGGACUCCCCAAAGGAACACACACACUUAGAAACUAUUACAUGAUCAUUACAUUACAUAAUUUUCUCCGACCACACUGAGGACUACGACUAAGCGCAAGCUUCCAAUAUGUUUGGCUCCAGCUAGCACCCAGCACGCCAACUCAUCUAAGAAACUUCUCUGCACCUUGCCGAUGGAGGGAGAAUCACCCUCAAAAACCACCCGGUUACGUUGCAGCCAUAAACACCAAGCACCUAGAAUAAUGGCACUAUUAAAGCCUUUCUUCUUGUCUUUAUGCAUUCGGUUGCAAACUCUUUUCCACCGGUCAGCAAAAGCGAUAUCCUUUACCCCAGGGGAGAGGUGACCAAGACCGAAAGGAGAUAGGUGGUUGUACCAAAAUUGCCGAGCAAAGACACACGUAGUCAAGAGAUGUUGAACUGUUUCUUGCUCCUGGUCACAAAGAGGGCAUGCUUCCGGAUGUGGGAGGCCUCUUUUUGCCAAAGUAUCAGAUGUCCAACAUUUAUUCCUCAUAGCCGCCAUAGAAAGGUCUUACAUUUAGGAGGGGCCCGACUUUUCCAUAGCCUCUUCCAUGGCUCAAAAGGGAUGGAUCCUUGUAGCAGGAUUUAGAUGAAAACCGACUAGAAGUCUCGUAUUUCCACACAUGCCGCUCAUCAUCCUGGGUCAACACAACCUCUCCCAAAGAAUCACAGAGAAGAAGGUAUUGUUGCAUCCCUAGUAAAGAAAGGGGGAAAUAAUUGCCCUCACCCACAAUCUGUUGUCAAGACCUUGUGCCACUGUUCUAGAGGAAAGGGUCUUCUUAUCAACUUUAGCAGCCACCUCAGGAGCAAUGUCCUGAAUACAGCAGCCAUUCAGCCAUCUAUCAGACAAGAACAGCAUGUUGUUUCCGUUUCCCACAAAGGAGACAACCGAGCUAGCAAAUAGCUGUUGAACCUGAGGUUGGAUGGGAAGAUCCAGUCCACUCCAAAGCCUAUUCGGGUCUAUUUUCUGCAGCCAUAACCAUUUCGUUUGUAGCGACCAACUCAUAUAUUGCAGGUUUGGGAUACCCAGGCCUCCAAAUGUUAGCGGCCUAGUAACUUUGUCCCAUGACACUAAAUAGCUGCUCCCAUUCACUUCUUUCCUUCCUUUCCAAAGAAACCCCUGUCGUAGCUUAUCGAUAGAUUUGAUCGAAACGAUUUAUUCUUGACAACUUCAUGCUAGUCCAGUGGACAACCAGAUUCUUACAUUGUUAGAAGCAGGCUCGUAUCCUUCUCAAGCUAGACAUUUCAAAGGCUUUCGACUCGGUAUCGUGGGCCUUCCUUAUCGAGGUCUUGAAAAAACUUGGUUUUGGACAGAUCUGGUGUGAUAUAAUAAGCAGGCUGUUAGCUACCUCUUCUACCAAGAUUUUACUGAAUGGUCUACCCGGGGAAUGUAUUGGGCAUCAACGAGGUCUGAGGCAGAGUGAUCCUCUAUCACCUAUGUUGUUUAUUCUUGUAAUGGAUGUCUUGAAUCAGCUCGUGCAGCGAGCCUCUGAGGAAGGGCUUCUUCAACCUCUCUCUACAAGGAAUAUGCAGCACUAUAUCUCGCUGUACGCAGAUGACGCAGUGUUAUUUCUAAGCCCUACUGCCUCGGACAUUAGUGUGGUUAUGUAUAUUCUUCAUCUUUUUGGUUCAGCUUCAGGUCUAAGGACUAAUAUCCAGAAGAGUAGUGGGUUCCCUAUCUGUUGUGGGUAAGAGGUGAAUUGCUUACAUGACUUGCUGCCAUGUAAUAUUUCAGAUUUUCCCUGUAAGUACCUCGGUUUGCCUUUGUCUCCCAAGAAACUCACAAGGGACCAGGUCUAGGCCGUUGUUGAUAGGGUGGCCAGCCUUCUGCCAGGAUGGAAAGCUGAGCUCAUGACCAAGGCUGGUAGAGCUAUUCAUGUGCAGUUCGUCAUGACGGCAAAGAUGAUUUAUGCAGCUUUGGCACUUGACCUUCCUGUCUGGGCCAUCAAAGCAAUUGAUAAACAGAGGAAGGGCUUCCUCUGGAGGGACAGGAAAGAGUUCUGUGGUGGUCAUUGCCUCCUGGCUUGGCCUAAGGUUACCCGUCCCAAGGAGCUGGGUGGUCUACUGGUCUUGGGAUUAGUGAUUUAAAGAACCUCGGUUGGGUUUUGGGGGCUCGUUGGCCAUGGCUGCAGAAAACAGAUCCCAGUAGGCCUUGGACGGACUUCCCCACACGUCUGUAAGGUGGUACAAAAUCUGAUUGUUGUAGUCGUUACUACUAAGCUCAGUGAUGGAGCCAAUACCCUUUUUUGGAAGGACAGAUGGUUGGAUGGGAGAUGUAUUAGGGACAUAGCUCCUGCAAUGUUUGACAUGGUGCCCAUGCGUCUUGCCAACAAACGGUUGGUCAAAGAUGCUCUCCCUAAUCUCCAUUGGAUCUCCGAUAUAAAAGGGGCAAUUUCACUCAGAAUCAUUGCUGAAUUCCUAGAACUUUGUGAAAUGCUUGAGGCAGUUGUUCUUCAGCAUGGAGUAAGGGAUCGACAAAUAUGGAAAUUCAGUGCUUCAGGAGAUUAUACAGCUAAUUCUGCUUAUAAAGCUCUCUUCCAUGGUUCAGUUCAGUUUGAACCAGCAGAACGAGUGUGGAAAUCUUGGGCUCCUAGGAAGUGCAAGUUCUUUAUUUGGCUUGUGGAGCAUAAUAGGUGCUGGACAGCUGACAGGCUUAGAAAAAGAGGGCUAGACCGGCCAGAGCACUGCCCCUUGUGCGACCAAGAGGCUGAAACUAUAAAUCACUUGUUGGUCAAAUGUGUUUUUGCCAAGCAGUUUUGGUUUGAUUUCCUUAGUUCAGUGGGACAGCAGGAGCUGUGUCCAGCUCACGAGGAUUCCUUCAAGUCAUGGUGGAAGACUAGCAGCUCUCGAACAUCUGAUCUUCUGAGGAAGGGUUUCAAUUCUCUAGUAAUCCUAGGUGUUUGGACCAUAUGGAAGCAUAGGAAUAGAUCUGUCUUUGAUGGAUGUAAUCCUAGCUUGGUCACAACCCUUAGGGUGGCUAGGGAAGAGGCGGUGCUCUGGUCCUUGACUGGAGCCAAGGCCCUGUCUUUCCUCCAGGUCGAAGAGCUGCUGGCUUAAAACAGCAUUGUGGGUCGUGUUUUCUCUGUGUUAGUCCGUGAUCAUUAGUCAGUUUCUAGUGUUGGGGUGUAAUGUGUGUGAUGUAAUGGGGUUCUCUCCCCCUUUCUUCUUCUUUUAAUGCAAAGAUGCGCAGCUCUCCUGCGUAUUCCAGAAAAAUAUUAGUUUCAUUAAAUUCUCCAUAAAAUUUGCCAUGAUAGUGCAUUGAUUUGAUCUUGUACAUGUCAGCAUUGUUCUCAAAACUUGGUAAAAUUAAGAGAAGUUUGACACAUAGGACAAAGCUAAAUGCACUACAAUCUGGAAGGGGUGAUAACUACCAUGGUAGGUCUAACAGCAUUACAAAGAAAUGGAUUUUCUACUUUCAAAACGAAGUUAAUACAUUCACAAAUUCAAUCAAAUUCCUUAAUAAUGCAAAGCAAAGAAAUUUCACAGUUGACUUGUCUCCUUGUAUAAGUUGCUUAGCAUAGAAUCUGUAAAACUGCUGGAAUGGUCGACAGAAGCACCCAAACAGUUUGCUAUUCAUUCACUUAGGGGCAAUAUAUGGAGCGACAACUCCAUGAAGCAGGGCAGUUUGGAAGUACUUGUCAACACAACCGAUACUUACAGGCUUACAGCAUCAGUGUUACCAUCAGAGUCAAUGAUAUAUGCGUGUGUGCAACAAAAAUGAAGGAAACCAGCUCGAAUUGUAAGGUAUGUCCAGGGCUCCAGGCAAAACAUUCCUUCUGUAGCCCUCGAAGUAAAUUUUUACUUGGGUUGUUAGGUAGAAGCUUGGCAUAGUUACCUCCAGAUGACAUUUACAAGAUCAUCUUGACGAGCCUCUGGGCUUAUCGCAGCAUCAUACUUCACAAUGUUUCCAUAGAAUAUUUUCUCUAGCUCCUUCAUCCAUUUUGUCAGAAGCAAGUUAACCUAGAAUGCAUGAACAUUUUAUAUAAAUCAAUUUUCACAAGUGGUAUAAUGCAUAAAAAGUAAAAAUUCUCUGAUAAUUCAAGAGGAACUGAAGAUAUGGUUGAAUAACACUCUGUCCAUUAUAAAUAUGCAAUGUUUAAGAUUAUUUAUUUUUGAACUAAUUUGCUGGUUCUAAAUGGCAUAUCACCCUUGAUCAAAGGGGAACAGGAAGUGCUAAAAAUAUGAGAAGUUCAGCACUUCUGCUCUUGGUUUUGUACAUGAAAAUCAUUUACAUGGGGAUCCUGGAAGGUACCUUGCUGCAGCCCAAUGUGCAAGAUCGUCAUGUUUGGAGGUUUUCUAGUUCCGGUGAUUAUUCUUCAAAAUCCGCUUACACUGCUAUGUUCCAUGGCUCGGUGUUUUUCAAGCAGGCUGAUCGAAUUUGGAAGACAUGGGCCCCUAGCAAAUGUCGGUUUUUUCUAUGGCUUGUGGCUCACAACAAAUGUUGGACAGCAGAUAGAUUGGCUAAAAGAGGAUUGCCUCAGUCGCUUCUUUGCCCGCUCUGUGAUCAACAUGAUGAGACUAUUAACCAUCUGCUGGUGGGCUGCUCCUUUGCGCGUCAUUUCUGGUUUGAGUUGCUCAGGCCUUUUGGUUUGCAGGACUUCCUUCCAGGACAGGAUAUAGAUGAUUUUGAUCACUGGUGGUGUUUCAAUAGUGCUCGGCUGGGUGGGCUGAGUAAGAAGGGCUUUGACUCCUUGGUCGCUUUAGGCGCUUGGAUGUUGUGGAAGCAUAGAAAUGGUGUUGUCUUCAAUGGUUCCCAUCCAAACUUGGUGGUGGCCGUUCGGCUGGCCAGGGAGGAAGCUUUCUUGUGGUCUUUGACUGGGGCUAAGGGUUUUUCUUACCUCCUAGCUCAAAGUCGGGUGGUUUAGUUUUCUGUUUUAGUGUUGGGGUGUCUGUCAGCUGACAAACGCUCUGUCACUGCCCCUGCUCCAGAUGUUGUUUCUGGCUAGGUGGGGUUCGGUGUGUGUGUGUGUGUGUGUUGUACUGUCUGUUCGGGGUCUUUUCCCCUUUUCUUCUUAAUACAUUGACGCGCAGCUCUCCUGCGUGUUCGAGAAGAAAAAAAUAUCUGGUGCAACCGUGCAACAAAGACAUAAACAUAGAGGUGGGAGUGCCUUUUAAAAAAAAUCAAAACAACCCUCCCUCCUCCCCCUAGAUAUUUUCAAAAAGGUCCUCCCACCUUUGCCUAGAUAUUUUAAAAAAAGGUCCUCCCACCUCCAUAUUUGUGUCUUGGUUGCACGGUUGCACCAGAUAUGUUCCCAUUUACAUGAUGGAGGAUUAA
rnacentral:lncRNA from 1 species